rnacentral:lncRNA from 1 species
GCUUCACACCUACCCGAUGUUGAAAGAUCGGAAGGAAAAAUAUGAUAAACUUUCAUUGGAAGCCCUAUAUAAUAGUGGUGGUCUAGUUGGAUGGAACAACAAAUCCAAUCAGACUUUUUCCCGGACAAUCAACGGGGGUGCAGCCAGCCCACUUGUAUUUUCUUAUUGUGUUCAGUUGACCAUACCGAAAGCUUGCACAACAUUACACAAAUCAUUAGAUUUAGGACAACGCUAACGCCCACACGUGUGGUGGGAGCCAAACCCGUCCACACGCUCUAUAACACACAGACUACGUCAUGUCAUCGCAUGCAUGCAUGUGGAAUUUUUUUUUGAUUUUCAAUUUUUAAUAUGUUUUAUCUCUUAAAUGAAAAAUUCAAUUGAAGAUCCGUUUUCACCAUUAAAUUCCUCGCGACGAGAUCUUUGAAACUAGAUCUCAUAUCAAUAUAUUUCAACGAUUUUUUUUUGGUUAAAAGUUGUCAUGUCUAUUGCACAUGAAUUGCCAUGAUGUUUACACUAAAGUUGCCAUGUUAUGUUUCAGCUAUUUUUUUCUAUAUUAAAAAGUAAAUUUUGACAUAUUAUAAAACGGAGAUUUAAAAAACUAGACUUGCUAUGCACCAUAAACUAAAAUUGACAUGAUACAUGCACUUAAAAUUGCCAUGGUUCAUGCAAAAAAAUAAUUUCAUGGUCAAAAUACUGGAAUUGCCAUCAUCAAAAACUAAAAUUGCCAUGAUCUACAAACUAAAAUUGCCACAUGACAAUUUUAGUGUAAACACCAAGGCAACUACAGUGUAAACAUCAUGACAACUUUUGGACAAAAAAAUUUUUGUCGAAACAUAUCAACAUGGGGUCUAGUUUUGAAGAUCUCGUCGAGACGGAUUUAAUGGUGAAAACGGAUUUUUAAUUCGCUUUUUUAAUUAGAAGAUAAAAUAUUUUUAAGCAGAAAACCAAAAAGAUUUCUGCUGAUGUCAUCUGUUCAUACGUGGCAAAAUGAGUGGUGAUGGAGGCGUGUGGGCGAUGUGCAAACGCCCACACGUGUGGGCGUUAGUUUUUCCGUAGAUUUAAUGCUCAUUACAAAUUUUUCUGAGCAACCUUAAUUCUCAUUAGAGCAUCUUCAACAGAUGAUGCAAAUAGGGCAAGUGCCCAAUUUACUAUUUUUAGAGCAUUUCCAUCAGAUGAUGUAUUUGCAAAUGGUGCUGCAAAAAAUAGGGCAGCCUCAUAUUUUGGCCCAAACUGUCGUAUAUUUGCAGCAGCCACACGACUAUCGCAAAUACUCCUGCAACCACAACCUCUAACGCCGGCGGCGCCCCUAACUGGCUGACUCUGGCCACCANNNNNNNNNNNNNNNNNNNNNNNNNNNNNNNNNNNNNNNNNNNNNNNNNNNNNNNNNNNNNNNNNNNNNNNNNNNNNNNNNNNNNNNNNNNNNNNNNNNNNNNNNNNNNNNNNNNNNNNNNNNNNNNNNNNNNNNNNNNNNNNNNNNNNNNNNNNNNNNNNNNNNNNNNNNNNNNNNNNNNNNNNNNNNNNNNNNNNNNNNNNNNNNNNNNNUCUAACCGAUUCGACCGCCACAACACCCCAUUUGGCCAUCACUCCUCCGUAUUUGUCGCCGCUGCAUCGACCGUCGAGUGAGGAUGCCAUCGCUCCGCGAGCACUAGGGCUUCCGUGACGUUUGCCUACUGCAGUUCGGACGCUAUGUCGCCGAAAUCUCAUGUGACAGGUGGCGGAUGUGGCUCGGCACCAAUGACACACGAAGCUCGCCGUCCGCGCGUACGAUCUCGCGGCUUGGAGUUUUCGUCAGCCGAGGUUCGAGCUCAACUUCUCGGAUGUUCCAAGCAUCAGGGAGGCAGAGUUUCUCGCUCCCGAGGAGCGUUUUGUGUCCCGUGAAGAGAAGAAAGACCCCCUAGUCUUUGACUAGAGCACCACCUAUGGGAGUGGUACAAUGGCUAUGGCAAGGUUGGCCGAGGCUAAUACGCACCAUGUGGAGGCGGAGCACAAAUACUUCGCUGGGAGGAACAGGACGCUCAAGAAGGAUGACGGGGUAGGACCGUCAUUGCUGAUUAAGGUUGAGUUGGACAACGAUGUUGAGUUGGACGAUGUUGGCUGGGACAUGGUCGGGCUCAAGAGUAGUUUUAUGACAAGUAGUGUAUCUAUCGUCGACGUACUGUUAUUUUCAUGUUUGAAGUUAGAACUCAAUGUUUAAGACUGAAAAUUUAGUACUUUGAAAUAUGCAAUGACCAUGUUUAUUUUGGUGCCCUGUUAUUCGACUGCGAUCGAACAUUUUCUGCUGCCCAAAAACCUUCUAACUCAUGACCUAAAUCGAAAUAAUUCUGUAAAAUCAGCACUACAGUGCUGAAAAAUCUGGGAAACUUUCACACUUUUUUGAUAAUCUAUUUAAAAAUACAGUAGAAAUUAAAUUCCGUAAAAUAAAACAGUUUGAAUUCCUAACGUAUUUUCAAAUAUAAUUUUCAAACUUACCACUAGAGCUUCUGUAAAAAUUUCUAUGCACCUUGUUAAAGUUAAAUCUAGCAUAACAGUAAAUACUUGGAUCCUCCUACUUUAAUUAUUUGUUCAUUUGUAAGUGUGAACUGUUCUUAGAUUAGUCAGCUUGGUACCGUUGAUUUUAUAUUUUCUUUUAAUCUUAUAUGAAUUUUUAAAAUUUUGGUCAAAAUUUAACAAAAUAGGGGCUGAAAUAAAAUUUCUACUGUAUUUUUAAAUAUGUUUGAAAAAAGUGUGGGAUUUUCCCUGGUUUGAUAGAAUGGUAGAGUCGAUGUUAGAGAAUGUUUUCAAUUUUCUCUUGACACUUCCAAAUUUUGGUCAUAUUUUACAAAAAAUGGGUGGUGAAUUUUUACUGUAUUAUUAAAUUUAUUUGACAACAAAGUGUAUAACUGUCCCGGAUUAGUCAGCAUGUGGUGCUGAUUUUACUGAUAUUUUUAAUUUUUUUUCUGGACACUUUGAAUUUUUGGUCAAAAUUUGACCCAAAAAGUUGGUCAAAAUUCGGUUAAAUACCUGACAUGUAUGCGAUAGCCACCUUUAGUUCGGGAUAAUUUAAACGGAGGUGAGAGUUCAGGGUUAUGUUCGGACCAAUACUGAAAUUCCGGGUUGUAAAUUAAACUAGGGUUUGAGCUCAGAGUUAAAAUAUGCACUUCUUCCAAUCUAUAAACCAACGACCCAUCGGAUCAUCCUAUACUGUAUGUGUACUUGUGAACGGUUAGCCACGACCACGACCCGAUAAACCCUUCAGACCCUUUGGAGCCACUUGUCCAUGGAGUGCAAUCCUUUUGAACCAUCAUUGAUGCACUAGGACACUAACUCACGCCACGGCUUCAACUCGCCCACCAGGCUCAACCAGAAGUUAUCUUGCACCAAUAGCGAGAUUGAGUAGGCUCAAGUUGGGAAUGACAUACCACCUUAUUUCUUGGGCACGCAAACGCUAUCCCACGACACCAUGCAAUGUCAACCAUGGACGUCAUUAUACUGUGUUGGGAAGGGCUGAUCGAUUUGGGCAGCGCAGUUUGCGCCGAACAAGAUCCGAAUCCUCGACGGAGCGCCAGAUGACAAGGGAUGCUGCACUGCAAUCUCACUGACGAAUUGGCUGAACCACGGUAAGGCCUGCAUUUGGAUUUGUUUGAUUGGUCACAAAUUCUAGAAAAAAACAGGUAAGAAUAGCAGCGCUUAAAAGCCUACAUUGCGCUUGUAUUCCACACGACCAAAUGACACAAUUUUUUUAGCACAGUAUAAUAGCAAAUGCUCACAUACAUGCACAUAUACUCACCCCUAUAAAAACACGCACGCACAUCCUAUCCCUAUAAGAUACAAUCACCGUAUAAAAGCACACUCGCAUACCCUACCCCUAUGAGCACAUCCGAGAUACGAAACCGGCACAAACCGCACAAUAUAAUCAUGCUACAAGAUUAAACAUUGCCGGUGUGUAUCCCACUGCCGGAACGUGUGGUGCUCGUUGUGUAGGUGCUAGAAUGCGUGGUGCCUGCGCCGUAGGUCCCACCGCUACCGCUGCUGAUGGUCGUUGUUCCAGUUAUAGAUUCAGAUAAGAAGCUGUCAACCGGCGAAACAAACAUGGCAACAGGCAUCUUGGCGGGCAGGCUCGGCAACGGUGCCUCAGUCCUCAGCACGUUCAUCGCCUGCCUUAUGGACGGUCUCAGGCUUCUAUUAGGGUGUGUGCACCAAAGCCCGACGAUUAUCACACGCUGGAUCUCUUGGCUGUCAAGCUCGUCAUUUAGUCGAUGAUCUACUGCGUCAAGGAUCCUUCCAGCGCCAUAUAAUUCCCAAAUAAAUUGCACUAGGUGCAUGGUGCAUGCUUCAUUUCCCCGCAGGACCAGGAGCGGGCGCCGGCCGCAGGCAAUCUCGAGGAUGACCACGCCGAAGCUGUAGACGUCAGACUCGGUGCUGGCUCUUCCGGAAGCCAUGCUCUCCGGGUCCAUGUAGCCCAUUGUUCCGGCGAGCAUAGUGGUGUGUGAUCCUUGCCCGUGUUGCACGAGUCUUGCCAGCCCAAAAUCACCGAGCUUCACAUUGAAGGAUGCAUCCAACAUCAAGUUGCUUGGCUUGAUGUCUCGGUGCAGAACACAUUGCUCCCAGUCCUGAUGCAGGUAUAAAAGGGCAGACCCUAUGCCAAGAACUAUCUCAUACCUAUUAUAAAGAUAAACAAGGCAUCACACUAGAAAUCUCAUCCAAGGUGUGGAGUAAGGCAGUAAGCAGAUGUACAUUAGUUGUUGUGCGGAUACCUGAGUGGCCAUGAUAGGACGGUCUCCGGGUUGUGAAUGUGAGUAUCGAGGCUGCCAUUCGGCAUCAGCUCAUAGACAAGCAAAAGCUCACCGCCGCCGUGGCACCAACCGAUGAGUCGCACGAGGUUGCGGUGCCUUAACCGGCUUAUGAUUGUCACCUCGGAGACGUACUCCUUCUUCCCCUGUUGAGAAGUCUUUGAAACUCUUUUUACUGCAACCUGAAGGUCAUCAUCCUUCAAAUACCCGUGGUACACUGACCCGAAGCCCCCGUGGCCGAGUUUCCCCUCAUCGGAGAAAUGCUUUGUGGCGAUAGCGAGCUCCUUGUAGCGGAACCUCCUGGGCCCCAUGCCCUGAUCGAACUCCUCUUCCAUGGGCUGCUCGUCGAACAAUUGGUUUUCUUGCUCUCUCGCUGACUUCUUUUGCCUCCUACGGCGCAAACCAAACCAAAGAGACAUACCAGCGAUGAUUGCGAACGCGAUGGAGCUGGCUGAGGCGCCCACUAUCAGCGCGCUUCUCCUGCUGCUAGCCGGCACGGUUGAGGAGGGUGAUGGUGAAGCUAAUUACCAAAGGAAACACCGCGACAGAAGGUAUAACUUUUCAUUUCACUGAUUAAAUCGUACUCCUACUUCGCACGAAGAUACUCAAUGCAAAUUACCUGGUGGCAGUGGUGUGGGUGUGACUGAUGUCCGUGGCGAUUUAGGCUGCUGCGGCGGCUCGGCUACUGGAAAGAUGGUGAUGGGUAUGGGGAUGCCUACCGAGUACCGCAUGUAGCAGCUAUACCCCAUGGAGCCUCUAUAUGUUCUGUUUAUAAGUUUCCACACUGACCAUAGGCUUGAAUAAGCUUGAAGAUGACCAUUGAAGCAGCUGGUGCACUGACUGGCGUUCAGGUCUCUCGUGCACUGUGCCAUGCCGUACAUCUCCUGCUCCAUACCUUGCGAGUCUAUGUACCGCUCGCUUCCGUUCGCCAACCGGAGGGAGGAGCUGCCAGCCUCCACCGUGAGUCGGCUCAUCAGCUUCCAUCGAGUAGCGUUCACGCUUGGCGCCGCGUCGAACACCUCGGCGUUGGCUGCCCCGUCGUAAUCAUUCAUGACAAAAGUGUCAAGGCUCGCGACGGAGAAGAAGGACUGGUUCGAGUACCGCAGCACGCACACGACGUCGUACCAGGCCCUCGCCACCCGGCUGAACGGGCACGCCUGCUGUAUGCCGGCGGUUGCGGCUCUGAUGCAGUUCUGGCAAUUGGUCCAGUUGCCGUCGGCGUAGCACAUAACGAGGCCGAAGACCUUGUCAGGCGCCUCGCCAGCCGUAAGGCUGGCGAAGCCGCCGUUGUCGAUGGCGCUGACCAAGAGGCCAUGCAUGAGCUCGGCGAGGUUCACCUGGUACGGGCUGGCCAUGGUGUAGUUGUCCUUGUUGGAGCAGUCAGGAUAGUCCGUCGUGGAGAACUGGCCAUGUAAUCCGCUCAAGGAGGAAACUACUGAGAGGAGGACUAAAAGGAAGAGCCGAGCCAUGGCCCAUGGCUUUGCUCGACCAAUUUUCCCGCUUUUAAGGAUCCAGUUCCAACAGCUUUGACUUCUACAUAGUACAUACCCUCCGACGUGCACACAUCACCCUCGCCGAGGUGAGUUCUUUUAAUGUAAGACAAGGGCCGGACAAGUCCUUAUUAUUCCUUUCUGGGAUCUUGCUGGAGAUUGGUUGGAAAAAGAUAUUUAGAAAUGUCGUGCUAUGAACACCUCCAUAGGACUGGUCAAUGGACCAAGACAUAUUUUUCAAUAAAGGAUGCAUUUUAAUGGCUCAAACGAAACAUCAAGAGAAAGAAAAAUAAUAAGCACACACUCGGCCUUUUUCAUAGUUACUACCUCCACUACUAGAAAAACUAUUUUACGUGAGACACAUUAAUCCCGAUUUAUAAAUGAACCGGCACUAGUUGUAUCAUUAGUCCCGGUUCGAACAGCUAUGCAUUAGUCCCGGUUCAUUUGUGACCUAUAGUACCGGUUGGAGCGUAAAUUGGGGGGGAGGGGGGGCGCUGCCACCCGCAGUGCACAAUGUUUAGUCUCACCUCGCUAGUUGAGAGGAGCUCGCACCGGUUUAUAAGCCCCGCCGUGGCUACUGUGUCAAGCUCCUCUCCAAGCAGGCCUUUGUGGGCCUAUUGCAAGUCUUCUGCCCUGUGGGCCUACUGGGCCGUAUGGGCCUGCAUCCUGGCUCAACUAGAGGUUGGGUUUCUAGUCGUAUGCAGGCCGUGCCGGCCCAGUAGGUGGGCAGUUUUUGCUUUAUUUCAAAAAAGAAAAUCGACGCGCCUCAUGCCAUGUGGUUGGCCUUUGGUCCCGGUUCAUGUUGAACCGGGACUAAAGGAGGGGGACCUUUAGUCCCCACCCUUUAGUGCCGGUUUUCAGAACCGGUACUAAAGGUCCUUACGAACCGGUACUAAAAGUCGUUUUUCUACUAGUGCUCCUUCCUGGUUUAUUGGUCCCCUUAGUAUUUAGUGCCAAAUUUUGAGUAUAGAUUUAACUAAGAGAAUAAUAAUGCAUGUCACUAAAAAUUAUAUUGUUGGAUUCGUAUUUGAACAUGGUUUCCAAUGAUAUUAUUUUUGGUUACAUGUUAGCAUUUUAGUAGUGAAAUUUAAGGUCAAAUUUUGACACAAAAUGCGAGGGGGACCAAUAAAUCAGGACGGAGGUAGUAGAAUAUACAUAGUCAACACCAACAUACUUAAAAUAGACACGACCGUCAUAUAAAACCAAACCUAUGCGCACGCGAGGAAAAAAGAAAAAUAUCCCAAACAAGCAGAUUCGUGAUUGGCAAGCUAUAACAAUGACCAUAUCCAUGUCAACCAUCUCAUGACACCAUAUAUAGACGAUGAAGUUCUUCAAUAGCAACGAGCUCAGAAAGGGAUCAACGCUCAACGCCUCUGUCACCGGAUCCAACCAUCCAAGGUCAGAAUCUAGAUUUUCACACUGAAGAACCAGUCCGAACAUAUAUGAGUAAUGCCUUGAACAAGGUAACAACUGAAAAACAUCGUCAUUCUCUGGUAUAACCAACUCAAGUUAGACAUAGGCUUUACCUCGGGAGUCCUUUUACAGUGCACCCAGUCGAUAUGGACCGUCCGCUGGACUGGAUUGGACGGUCCAGAUCCAAUGCAAUACGUUGAUGUCACGUGUAUUAUAAUAGAGCAUGAGGGGAAUUUUCGGAAGAGUUUUUUUCAAACUGAUCAGGUAUUCCCUCUCAAAUAUUUCAACGGUAUUCUCGGUACAAAUUUUAGGGAUAUUUUUGGUAUGAUUUUCAUCCAGCUCAUUCCUGUCACUGUGUCGUCGCUAGGGUUUGACUCCUUGCCGGCCGUAGGGUUUCAUCCCUCGCCGACAGGAUCGAGCCGCGCGUCGCGGCCCCUCCCUUCCUCCACUCCAAUCCCCUCGCGCUCUGGCACCUCCUCUUCACCAAAGAAAAUGAGAAGAGGAUGUAUGCCCUCCCCACGGCGGUCGCUAGCAAAGAUUCGGCGCCAUCCCACCUCCCAGUCCUCUAUGCGUGUGCCUAUAGCCACGAGGUGAGUUACUACCUCUUUCCCACUCCCCACGUGGUUGUUUGCAUCCUCUAGAUCACCUCUCCGCCAUGCCCGCAAGCAAAGGUGGUUGGGCAUCUAGAUGGACCAUGUUCUCAUUGCUGGUGGGUGAUAACCCACAAGUAUAGAGGAUCACAAUAGUUUUUUAGGGUAGAGUAUUCAACCCAAAUUUAUAGAUUCGACACAAGGGAAGCCAAAGAGUAUUUGCAAGUAUUAGCAGUUGAGUUGUCAAUUCAAUCACACCUGAAGAUUAAAUAUCUACAACAAAGUGAUUAGUAACACAGUAAUGUGAUAGUUUGAUAGCAGUGGUAACAAUAGUAGUAACAGUAAUAGUGAUAUCAAAGAUGUAGCAAGUGUAACAGUAGCAAUAGCAAUCGUAACUUAGCAAGAACAAUAUGUGGGAAACUUGUAGGCAUUGGAACGGUGGAUUCGUUGGAUGAUAUUAAUCAUAUAACAUUCAUAACCUAGGGCGACACAGAACUAGCUCCAGUUCACAAAUAUAAUGUAGGCAUGUAUUCCAUAAAUAGUCAUAUGUGCUUAUGGAAAAGAACUUGCAUGGCAUCUUUUGUCCUACCCUCCCGUGGCAGCGGGGUCCUUAAGGAAACUAAGGGGUGUUAAGACCUCCUUUUAAUAGAGAACAGGAAUAAAGUAUUAACACAUAGUGAAUACAUGAACUCCUCAAACUACAGUCAUCACCGGAAAGUAUCCCGAUUACUAUCACCCCGGGUUUACGAAUCAUAACACGUUGUAGGUGCAUAUGACUAGAAAGAUUGGAACUAGAAAAUAGAUAUAAUGGUGAAAACAUAAACGGUUCAGAUCUGAAACCAUGGCACUCGGCCCCUAAUGACAAGCUUUAAGCAUGGCAUAGUCAUAGCAACAUCAAUCUCAGAACAUAGUUGAUACUAGGGAUCAAGCACUAACAAAACUAACUCGAUUACAUGAUGAAUCUCAUCCAACUCCUCACUGAAUAGCGAGCCUACGAAGGAAUUACUCACUCCCGGUGGGGAGCAUCAUGGAAUUGGCGAUGAAGGAGGGUUGGUGAUGACAAAGAUCGAAAAUUCCCCUCUCCGAAGCCCCGAACGGACUCCAGAUCUGGCCUCCCGGUGAAGAACAGGAGGUGGCGAUUACUCUGUCUCAUGAAACGCGAUGAUUCUUCCUCUCCGAUUUUUUUCUCCAAAAAUAGGAUUUUAUGGCGCUGGAAUUAGGGUCAGUGGGGCCACGAGGUGGGCACAACCCACCAGGGCGCGCCUGGAAGGGGGGCGCCCUGGUGUCUUGUGCUCAGCCAGGGCCCCCCUCCGGUGGUUCUUGGCUCCAGUAUUUUUCAUUUAUUGUAAAAUAAUUCUCCAAAAAGUUUCAUUCCAUUCCUAGAACUUUUAUUUCUGCACAAAAAUAACACCAUGAUAGUUCUGUUGUAAACGGUGUUAGUUUGGGUUAGUUUCAUUCAAAUCAUGCAAAUUAGAGUCCAAAACAAGAACAAAGUGUUAGGAAAAGUAGAUACGAUGGAGACGUAUCAGCGGGGUACUGCGGGGCUGGAUUAAGUCAGACGGUCUCGACCAACGAGCCCCAUUCGUGCGACCUCAUCCACAUCAGGGCAACAUCUAUGUAUCUUCGACUGUUGCAUAUGUACAGUUGUACAAUUAAUUCAAGCUUUAUUCUUUCAAUUUGGCUGAUAGGUGAGACCUUGGAUUUGGUCAGGGAGAGAUGUUAAUCUAUUAAUUUAGGAAUGUCCUAUAAACAAUUCAUAGCUUAUGUUGCUCAAUAUUUAUGAUGCUCGCUUCUUCCUGUGCAAUUGUUGGACUAGGUUCAACAGACUUGGGGAUGUGGUUUAUAAAAAAAGAUUCAAAGGGGAUAUCCAACAUUGGAGGAUUAGUGUAAAUUCUUAUUAUGAUGUUUUACCCUUGUGAAAUAGAGAGAAAUGAUCCUUGCAAAAACAGAGAGAGAGGAAUGAGCAUUGGAUUGUUAAAAAUUCAGGCGUUUUAUUCUUCGAUGUUAAGUUACUCGCAACGUUUGUUAGCUAGAUACAUGUGAUAAGGUGAGUACAAGUAGUAAUUUUUCCUUUGUUUUGCAGAGCUAUCACACAACAUGGUAUGUGAUUCCCUCAAGCAGGAUGGAUGUACCAUUGCCACCCUGCUAUGCUCCUGAAGGUGCCUACAGCCCCCGCGAUCCCUUCAAUUCAGGGCACGCUCUUCCAUGCCACAUCAUGGUCGUUGCAGCACCGGCAUGCCUCUUUCGAUAUGUGCUUUACGCCUGUGAUCCAAUGCUCUACUUUAUAGGAUUUGCGACCUACCUACGAGACAUUAGUUAUGCCAUUUCCUGGAUAGCUGGUAUUGAGUGUUCACUCAUAUAAUAUUUUACCUUCUGUUGCAUUGUGAGGCUAUGCUCGUGCUCAUACAUUUUUCCUCUCGUAUAUGUGUGAGCAAAUUUUAUUGAAACAUGUCUGCUCCUGUUCAAUAUGGGACGACACUUGCAAUUAGCAAUAGAAAAUUCUAAAAAUAAACCAAUCAUAAAAUAUUAUUCUUCUAGGGUUGCUCGUGCCCUGUAAUUAAUCUUGUCCAGACCCUGACAAUUCAUAUUGGAGUUUCACUUUCCUAAUCUUGAAACAACUGUCACAUUGUUGUAAAAAAGCAAAAAUAGAUUUCUAGGUGCUCCCAUACAGACCAAAUUUAUUUGAAGCAAAGUCUUGAAACCAGUAUUAUUGAAGUUUACAACUUGAGUAAUCCACAAUAGACUAAGAAAAUGGCUAUGAAACAUUCUUGGGGACUAAAACCCAACCACACCCUACUCUAUCGCUUUAUAGCCAAGUGUACACUCCACAUGUAAUAAUUAACCUCUGCUGGACUAACUGCUUGCAUCUUCAUCCACAGUUGCAUCCAAUAGGCUAGCAUGGUGCAUAUUGAACCUUUUCUUGUAUUUCAAUUUGUUGUAGGGUGAAUCGACAAGCACAACAGGUACCUCUCUUCUAAAUUUUGUCGAUGUAGUCCUCCAUGGGAGGAUAUGUUAGUAUUGUUCUAUAGUGCCAAAUCUUCUCCUGUAAAUAAUUUGAUAUUCUUCAACAUGUAGAGUGCACAAUAAGAACUGCAACAUUUUAUUCUGUUAUCAGCAUUACACGUAUUGACAAUGAAAAACAAAAACAAAAACAACAGCUAUAUUGUUGACUAGCGUUUCAUCAGGUUUUGGCAUGACAACAAGCUUUACUUGUCAUUGUGUCAUGUUAAUGUCUUCACAUGGAUUGCUUUCUGGUCCAUUGAUCCACAUCGUUGCUCACAGAUGUGCUUCCAUCCCAUGAACCUGCAAGACCAUGGGAUGAGAAGUUUCUUACAGUUAAUACUUAGGUAGGAUGUUAAAUCCUUUGUUUUAAUGAAUGUUGUUAAAAUUCUCACCAUGUUAUUUACUUCUCUGUGUACCAUACAGUGGAAAAGUGAAUCAAGAACCUGGAUCUCCUGCCUUCUGGGGUUUACGACCACAAGGAACCAGUGGAUGGUUAAAGUGAUUGUAGGUAGGAAAACCUGGAGUGCACAGAAAAUUAGACGUUUAUAGUAAUAAGAAAAAGAAAUGUGCUUUGUGUCGUGGUUAUAGCACCACAUCAUGUUUCAGGUAGUUGGUGCCUUUUGUUGUUCCAUGAAUGCCCGCCAAAGCGUUCUCGUGGCACUUAUCUAUCCUAUCAUCUCUUUCGAGCAUAGCGCCAGCCACCCUCUCAAUGUAAACCAGUUGCCUGUUCCUUGUCUCAAGCGUGUCAUCAUUAGACAUGAACCGAAUCGCAACAUCAACCACCUACAACAAAGAAUCAAGUUAAUUGUAUUGUACGAAUGAAAAUUGAUAAACUAUUUUAUGAAAUAUCUUAGUUCUUCACCCAACUAUAUGCCAUCUUCGGCCACAUCUUUAUGGGUGAGGCACUGCAAAUGCUUCGAUAGCACAACAAUGUCAUCAACUAACACCAUUUGUUUUUCAUGAUCUGUAGUGUUGAUCAAUUCGGCCACAAAAUCCUGUCGAACCUCGUCUAGCUUGUCCCUUGAAGGAUUUUUUUAAUUUGCUAGAGCCGAUUUCCCUCUUUCUAUUAUUUUUGUCCUUGGGAUCAUUCGUAGACUCUCAUGGAUUGUUUUUCCUAUUUUUUCAGUAUCGUACAAUACGUAUUUGUCAUUCUUAAAUAAUACUGAUACCACCCUUUUCCUUCCGCUCGCAUGAUUUGGUGGCGUCGAUUCAACCACACUUACUUCUUGUUGCUUUCAAAAGGAUUCAUCAUGGUUCUCAUCAUUUUUAAAGGAUGGGGUUCUUCACGCACGAGUGAUCAAGCUUUGUAGAGUGGUGCUUACUCCGUCUAUUGAACAGAUCCUGUUAUACGAAAUAAAGCAUGUCUUAGCCUUUAGCAGAUUCUUACUCAGUUUAAUGUCGAAUGUGCAUCACCUGGAAAGCAUCAAGGCUUGUGUUGGCUUUGGAAUGCUUUUGUGAAUCAAAACUAGGACCACCCUGCAAAGCAUCCACCUCUUUAAAAAGCUUUGUAAUACCCCUGAGGCUCUCCGUGACAGUUACGGCAGCUCUUUCGAAUGCUUCAUCCUAUACAUGGAAGGUCCAAUGUUAUUUGUGAAACGAAAAUGAUUGCUUCGUAAUUUAAUUAACAUGCGUAUGGCAAAAUCUUCAUCAAGGUUCUUCAUGUGGGCCUCCAUGUCAUCGUUUUGUAUUCACUGGUUAGAAUGCUCCUUAGCAGGGACCUCUAGGACAUCCUUUUGUUUUCCCUGGCCAGAACCAUUCUCAGCAUUCUCGGCAGGGGCCUCCAUUGGGUCUGAAGCUGCCCCAAGGUCAGAAAGAUGUAUGUCCUCCACUCCUGGGAAUAUUCCAUUGUGGUUGUUCUUAAAAAAACAUGUUAGUAUGGGGUGUUUUCAUAGUAAACUUAUUUAGAAACAACCUUGUAUACGUAAAUUUCCAAUUAUAAUAAGGAAAAGGCUAUCGAUCAACCGACGGAUCUAGCGCGGGUGUUCGCCGCCUCCCUUGGUCGACACAUGGCCUGCUGGACCGCACAUGUCUCUCUCUCCCUCCGACGGGCUCGCGGCGACGGUGAUGUUUUGUUUCGCAACAUCUACUAUAUUGUAAGAAUGAUUUCUGCAACUUCAGUUAUGUUGCAUAAAUUUCUUCUGUAACACCAUAUAGAGAUGAAGACGAAGGAAAAAAUCUGCAACAUCACCUCAGUUUUGAAAAAUUUCUGCAACAAUACCUUUGUUGCAAAAAAAGUGAAGAAAUGAAAAAAAAAUGUCCAACACGACCUGAUACGUCUCCAAUGUAUCUAAAAUUUAUGAUGCAUUCACGCUAUUUUAUUAUCUGUUUUGAAUGAUUACGGGCUUUAUUAUACACUUUUAUAUUACUUUUGGGACUAACCUAUUAACCGGAGGCCCAUCCCAUAUUGUUGUUUUAUUGCCUGUUUCAGUAUUUCGAGGAAAAGGAAUAUUAAACGGAGUCCAAAUGGAAUGAAACCUUCGGCAGCGUGAUUUUUUGGAAGAAUAUGAUCCGGGAGACUUGGAGUUCAUGUCAGAAGAUCCUCGAGGAGGCCACGAGAUAGGAGGGCGCCCCCCCCCCCCUAUUGGGCGCGCCCCUGUCUCGUGGGCCCCUCGAGCACCUCCCGACCGACUUCUUUUGCCUACAUAAGCCUACGUACCCUAAAAACAUCAAAUAUCAAGAUAGAUCGGGAGUUCCGCCGCCGCAAGCCUCUGUAGCCACCAAAAACCUCUCGGGAGCCCGUUCCGGCACCCUGUCGGAGGGGGAAUCCAUCAUCGGUAGCCAUCUUCAUCAUCCCAACGCUAUCCAUGACAAGGAGGGAGUAGUUCACCCUCGGGGUUGAGGGUAUGUACCAGUAGCUAUGUGUUUGAUCUCUCUCUCUCUCGUGUUCUCGACUUCACACGAUCUUGAUGUAUUGCGAGCUUUGCUAUUAUAGUUGGAUCUUAUGAUGUUUCUCCCCCUCUACUCUCUUGUGAUGAAUUGAGUUUCCCUCUUGAAGUUAUCUUAUCGAAUUGAGUCUUUAUUUGAGAACACUUGAUGUAUGUCUUGCCGUGCUUAUCUGUGGUGACAAUGGAAUAUCACGUGCCACUUGAUGUAUGUUUUGGUGACCAACUUGCGGGUUCUGCCCAUGAACCUAUGCAUAGGGGUUGGUACACGUUUUCUUGACUCUCCGGUAGAAACUUUGGGGCACUCUUUGAAGUACUUUGUGUUGGUUGGAUGAAUCCGAGAUUGUGUGAUGCACAUCGUAUAAUCAUGCCCACGAAUACUUGAGGUGACAAUGGAUAAUCUAGGUGACAUUAGGGUUUUGGUUGAUUUGUGUCUUAAGGUGUUAUUCUAGUACGAACUCUUGAAUAUAUUGAUCCGAAAGAAUAACUUUGAGGUGGUUUCGUACCCUACCAUAAUCUCUAUGUUUGUUCUCCGCUAUUAGUGGCUUUGGAGUGACUCUUUGUUGCAUGUUGAGGGAUUGUUAUAUGAUCUAUCUAUGUUAUUAUUGUUGAGAGAACUUGCACUGGUGAAAGUAUGAACCCUAUGCCUUGUUUCCUAUCAUUGCAAUACCGUUUAUGCUAACUUUUAUCAUUAGUUACCUUGCUGUUUUUAUAUUUUCAGAUUACAAAUACCUUUAUCUACCAUCCAUAUUGCACUUGUAUCACCAUCUCUUCGCCGAACUAGCGCACUUAUACAAUUUACCAUUGUAUUGGGUGUGUUGGGGACACAAGAGACUCUUUUUUAUUUGGUUGCAGGGUUGUUUGAGAGAGACCAUCUUUAUCCUACGCCUCCCACGGAUUGAUAAACCUUAGGUCAUCCACUUGAGGGAAAUUUGCUACUGUCCUACAAACAUGUACACUUGCAGGCCCAACAACGUCUACAAGGAGAAGGUUGUGUAGUAGACAUCAAGCUCUUUUAUGGCGCCGUUGCUGGGGAGGUGAGUGAUUGAAGGUAUAUCUUUAGAUCUUGCAAUCGAAUCUUUUUAUUUCUUGUUUUAUCACUAGUUUAGUUUAUAAAAGAAAACUACAAAAAAAUGGAGUUGAGUUUGUCUCGUACGCUUCGUCUUUUUAAUAUCUUUCGUGAGUAUGAUGGAAAGGAAAAUUGUGCUCAAGUGCUAGAAGAAGAGUGCAUUAAAAUGCUUGGUACUGAAUCUUUGAAUGAUGAGCAUGAUUGCAAUGUUGUUAGUAUAAACUCCUUGAAUAUCCAUAGUACUAAUGAUGAUUGCUCUAAUCAUGAUGAAAAUAUCCCUUAUGAGCAUGUCAAAUUGUGGAGUGCAUGUUUGCAUGAACACACCAAAUAGAGAAGAUAUAUAUUGCAAGAGGCAUAAGCAUUUAGAAACUAAAUUGUUGCAAGAAAAGUUAAAUGGGAAUGCUGAAAAUUUACACUUCCUCUGCCGUACUUGUGAACUAUGCAAUGAACGUGGUCAUCUACAUCUCCUAUGCAAAUUAUUUCAUGAUCGAAUCGUGUCCACAAAUUGAGAUGAUUUGAUCUCCCUUGCACAUUACAAUGAACUUAGUUUACUUUUAGGUUAUGAGGAAUUGAAACAUUUAGUUAAGGACCUUCCAGAAUUUGCCCAUACACUACUAGAAAAACACCUACUAAUGGCGCACCUAAUAUGGACAUUAAUGGCGCAUCUGUGGUGCGCCACUAACAGCACGCCAUUAGUAAUUUUUACUAAUGGCGCACCAGUGGUGCGCCAUUAGUAUCUGGUAUACUAAUGGCGCACCACUNNNNNNNNNNNNNNNNNNNNNNNNNNNNNNNNNNNNNNNNNNNNNNNNNNNNNNNNNNNNNNNNNNNNNNNNNNNNNNNNNNNNNNNNNNNNNNNNNNNNNNNNNNNNNNNNNNNNNNNNNNNNNNNNNNNNNNNNNNNNNNNNNNNNNNNNNNNNNNNNNNNNNNNNNNNNNNNNNNNNNNNNNNNNNNNNNNNNNNNNNNNNNNNNNNNNNNNNNNNNNNNNNNNNNNNNNNNNNNNNNNNNNNNNNNNNNNNNNNNNNNNNNNNNNNNNNNNNNNNNNNNNNNNNNNNNNNNNNNNNNNNNNNNNNNNNNNNNNNNNNNNNNNNNNNNNNNNNNNNNNNNNNNGAGGUCGCCGGAGAGGAGGGAGAAGAAACCAUGAGGGGAGGGGAGGGGAGGGGAGGGGAGGAGGGAGGAGGGAGGAGGAGGUCGCCGGAGAGGAGGAGGAGGUCACCGGAGAGGAGAAGUAUGGUGGAGGAGAGAAGGGAAGAUGAAAUGAAGAGAGGAGGAGAGGACCAGCCAUAUAUACGGCAUACUAAUGGCGCACCGCGGGCAGGUGCGCCAUUAGUAAAUUUUUUUAUUUUUUUGAUUUAUUUUGAAUUUUGAAGGCGGGAAGAUACUAAUGGCGCACCACGGGCAGGUGCGCCAUUAGUAAUUUUUUUUUAUUUUUUUGAUUUAUUUUGAAUUUUGAAGGCGGGAAGAUACUAACGGCGCACCAUGGUCAGGUGCGCCAUUAGUAUUUUUUUUUUGAAUUUUGAAGGCGGGAAGAUACUAAUGGCGCAUCAUGGGCAGGUGCGCCAUUAGUAAGUUUGAAUUUUUUUGAUUUUUUUUGCCUCUCUAGAUCUUAAAAGCCCCGUAUCUUUUUUUCUGUUAGGUUUUUGAGGAUUUUGGAAAUGUUUAACGGGGUUCCCCCGGUUAAAUUUGGAUGUAACUUUUCGAGUAGAUGAUUUUUCAUAUAAAAAACUUUUUCAUCCGAGUUAGUAUGCAAAAGUUAUGCCCAUUUUUACAAAUUCUCGCGAGAUUUUGCAAAUGAAGUCAAAAUUCAUAUUUGCAAAUUUUCCCAACAACUAGGCCACAUAUCACAUGGGAAACUUAUUUUCUUUUAUUUUUUUAACAUUUUUAUCAUUUUGUUUUAUUUUUUUUAAAACUNNNNNNNNNNNNNNNNNNNNNNNNNNNNNNNNNNNNNNNNNNNNNNNNNNNNNNNNNNNNNNNNNNNNNNNNNNNNNNNNNNNNNNNNNNNNNNNNNNNNNNNNNNNNNNNNNNNNNNNNNNNNNNNNNNNNNNNNNNNNNNNNNNNNNNNNNNNNNNNNNNNNNNNNNNNNNNNNNNNNNNNNNNNNNNNNNNNNNNNNNNNNNNNNNNNNNNNNNNNNNNNNNNNNNNNNNNNNNNNNNNNNNNNNNNNNNNNNNNNNNNNNNNNNNNNNNNUAACUAGUAAUGGCGCACCACACCCACGGUGCGCCAUUAGUAUGUUUGGACAGGCGCACUAGUUCAAAAAAAAUAAAUUUGGUACUAAUGGCGCACCGUAGGCAGGGUGCGCCAUUAGUAGUUUCAACACUAAUGGCGCAUCAGAAGGUGGUGCGCCAUUAGUAUAUACUAAUGGCGCACCACAUGUCUGGUGCGCCAUUACUGUCAUUUCCAUCUAUAGCCCUUUUCCUAGUAGUGAUAAGAAAUUUCUUGAUUUUGAUCUAGAGGAUAUUUAUAUGUUUUGUGUGGAGAAUUGCAUUGAAAAUCCUUAUAUUGUCAAUUACCUAAAGAAAAGAAAGCAAAUAAAAGAUGAAGAGAAUACUAAUGAAAGGGAAGAGACUUCCGAAUCUCCUCCUAUUAUUUCUUAUGAUGAAUCAGGUAACGAGGAGGAGCUUUCUGUUCAACCAAUCUCAUCAAUAAGGAGCUCAAAGAGGAAGGUUGAACCCACACAUAAUGUGAAGAAGAAAAGGAAAAGAAGGGGCGACAAAGGUAAAAAGGUAUCCCUUCCAAAUGAUGUUGCUCCUACUACUUGUGAUGAUGAUAAUUGCUACACUAUUGGUGCUAUCCAUACUAUUAAUUAUGAGAGUGAUUAUGCUUAUGAUAUGAAAAGGCCCAAGCUUGGGGAAGCUAUGUUUGAUGAGAAUGACAUAUUUGAGAAUAUAUUUGCUGAAAUUAAUGUUUGUCCCAAGCUUGGGGACGCUACGUUUAAUGAAGAUGAUAUUUUUAGCAUCCCAAGUUUUGAUAUGCAUAGUUGUUAUGAUGAUAGCAUGCCUCCUACCUAUGAUGAUUAUAUUGAUGAAAGUGGGUUCGGAAGAGUGUCAACUUUAGGAAGUAGUGAUCCUACUAUUUUGGAGGAUGUUGAAUUUUAUUGUGAUGAAUAUGAAAGUGCAUUUGGAAGUGUCAACUUUAUUUAGUGAUUCCACUAUCUUGGGAGAGGUUUCAAUCGAUUAUGAUGAGAACGAAGUUGCUACUUAUGAUGAUUAUUGUGAUGAAACUUAUGCUAUAAAAAGUAGUGAUGAUUAUAUUUACAAAUCUUGUCAUGAUUAUGAUUACCCUUUUUCUGAACAUUACUCUUUUAAUGUGGAAACAAUUUUUAGUGUUCAAGUCUCUUAUGAUACUCCCACUAUUCCGAAUGGGAAGAAUUGUGCUUAUGUGGAGAGUAGUAAAUUUUCUAUGCUUGUAGGUCAUGAAAAGAAUGCUUUAGGUGCUGGUUAUAUUGUUCAAUUCAUUCAUGAUGCUACUGAAAAUUAUUAUGAGGGAGGAAUAUAUGCUUGUAGGAAUUGCAAUAAUGUCAAGUUUCCUCUCUAUGUGUUGAAAAUCUUGAAGCUAUGCUUGUUUUUACUUUCCUUUGCUAGUUGAUUAUUGUUCCCUUAAGUUGUUUGCUCACAAAAUCCCUAUGCAUAGGAAGUAGGUUAGACUUAAAUGUGCUAGUCAUAUGCUUCAUGAUGCUCCCGUUAUGUUUCAAUUCUUAUCUUUUAUGUGAGCAUCAUUGUCAUCAUCAUGCCUAGCUAGAAAGGCAUUAAAGAAAAGCGCUUGUUGGGAGACAACCCAAUAUUCAUCCUUAUUGUUAUUGUGUGUUCACAUGAUUAUGCUACUGUAGUAAUCAUGUUUUAUAUCUUUUGUUUCAAUAAAGUGCCAAGUAAGACCUUUAGAAUAGCUUACGGUGAUAGUUGUGUUGAUCAUGCUGAAAAUCAGAAACUUUUUCACCCAGUAAAUUAGUUUUGUUACUUCACAGAAACGUGAUUCUGAUCUGAUCUUUUUUAUGUGGAUUGGUACACAAAUUGCUUAGGACUUUCUAAUUUGGUAGGAGUUUUGGAGUUCCAGAAGUAUACGUUUGAUACAGGUUACUACAGACUGUUCUGUUUUCGACAGAUUCUGUUUUCUAUGUGUUGUUUGCUUAUUUUGAUGAAUCUAUGAGUAGUAUCAAAGGGUAUGAGAGCCAUAGAUAAGUUGGAGUACAGUAUAUAUUACACCAAUAUGAAUUUAGAAUGAGUUCAUUACAGUACCUAAGUGGUGGUUUUAUUUUCUUAUACUAACGGAGCUUACGAGUUUUUUGUUGAGUUUUGUGUUGUGGAGUUUUCAAGUUUUGGGUAAAGAUUCGAUGGACUAUGGAAUAAGGAGUGGUAAGAGCCUAAGCUUGGGGAUGCCCAAGGCACCCCAAGGUAAUAUUCAAGGACAACCAAGAGCCUAAGCUUGGGGAUGCCCCGGAUGGCAUCCCCUCUUUCGUUCUCGUCUAUCGAUAACUUUACUUGGAGCUAUAUUUUUAUUCGCCACAUGAUAUGUGUUUUGCUUGGAGCAUCAUUUUAUUUUGUUAGUAUUUGCUUGAUGUUAUUUAGAAUAAUGUUUUGCAUCUUUAUUUUCAAUAAAAAAGUCAAGGAUAGCCUUUGCCAUGCUUAUUUUGCUAGUAUACAUGUUGCUGUUUGAAAACAGAAAGUUUACCGCUGUUGCAAAAAUUCCCUAGAAAAGUCAGAGAAUGAUAUAAUGUUGAAAACUUCUUCAUAAUAAGCUCUGAUAAAUUUAAUACAGUUAGAAUUUUAUUUCAUAAUUUUUGGAGUUAGGGAAGUACUGAUACUCUUGCAUUCUUUACAGACUGUACUGUUUUGGCAGAUUGCUGUUAUGGUUGCAUUGUUUGCAUAUGUUUGCUUGUUUAAUGAUUCUAUUUGAGGAUAGGAGUAUUAAAUAUGCAGAGGCAUUUAGUAUGCAAUGUUGAAUAAUAAUUUUAGUGAUUUGUUACAGUAGAAAAUGAUAAGGUUUUGCAUUGGUUUAUACUAACCUAUCUCACGAGUUCUUGUUGAGUUCGGUGUGGAUGAAGCUUUUGAUAAAAAGAUAAACCAUGAUAUGAGAGGAAUUAAGGAGACACAAAAGUUCAAGCUUGAGGAUGCCCAAGGCACCCCAAGAUAAUAUUUCAAGAAUUCUCAAGCAUCUAAGCUUGGGUAUGCCCCGUUAGGCAUCCCACCUUUCUUCUUCAACAACUAUCGGUUAGUAUCGGUUGAGCCUAAGUUUUUGCUUCUUCACAUGAGUUGUGCUAUCCUUGCAAUGUCAUUUUAUUUUGUUUUGCUUGCUGUUUGAAUACAAUACCAAGAUCUGAAAUUCUUAAAUGAGAGAGAGUAUUCUCAUAGCUACAUAAUUAUUUAGCUACUCAUUGAUCUUCACUUAUAUCUUUUUGGAGUAGUUUGUCAUUUACUCGUGUGCUUCACUUAUAUCCUAUGAGUAAAUGGUUGAAUGAGUUGAAUGUCACAAAUCUGAAUUUAUGUCUCAUUUGCUUAUCCCAUGGGGAGUAAUGACUUCACAUCUAAGAAGUAUAGGUUGUAAAUUUAUUGAAGGUUAGCAAGCAUUGUAUUGGUCAUUUGAGCAAUUCAUGAAAGAAUAUUUAAGGAAGAGAGAUUUAAUAUAUAAAUACACUAUCCUAGACAUCUUUUAUAAUUGGGAGCACUCAUUAAGUAUGACAUGCUAAAGAGUUGAUGUUGGACAAGGAAGACAACGUAAUGGGUUAUGUUUUCCGACAUCUCAGUUAAAGUAUAUUGUCAUGGAUCAUUCAAGCAUGUUGAGCUUGCCUUUCCCCCUCAUGCUAGCCAAAAUUCCUAGCACCAAAUAGAGAUACUACUUGUGCUUCCAAAUAUCCUUAAACCCAGUUUUGCCAUGAGAUUCCACCAUACCUACCUAUGGAUUGAGUAAGAUCCUUCAAGUAAGUUGUCAUCGGUGCAAGCAAUAAAAAUUGCUCUCUAAAUAUGUAUGAUCUUUUGGUGUGAAGAAAAUAGCUUUAUACAUCUCUUGUUAUGGAAGCAAUAAAAGCGACGGACUGCAUAAUAAAGGUCCAUAUACAAGUGGCAAUAUAAAGUGACGUUCAUUCGCAUUAAGAUUUUGUGCAUCCAACCCUAAAAGCGCAUGACAACCUCUGUUUCCCUCUGCGAAGGGCCUAUCUUUUACUUUAUGUCUUUUACUUUUAUGCAAGAGUCAAGGUGAUCUUCACCUUUCCCUUUUUCAUUUUAUCCUUUGGCAAGCUCCUUGUGUUGGGAAGAUCCUGAUAUAUAUAUAUCCAAUUGGAUGUAAGUUAGCAUGAACUAUUAUUGUUGACAUCACCCAAAGGUGAAUAUGUUGGGAGGCAACACUAUAAGCCCCUAACUUUCUUAGUGUCCGAUUGAAACUUCAUAACCAUUAGUAUUGCGUGCGUGUUAGCAAUUGUAAAAGACUAUAUGAUAGUUGAGUAUCUGGAGUUUGCUAUUCCUGAAAAUAAGAUGAACUGCAAUUGUUUGAUGACUAAGAAUGAAGUUUGCUAGUUUUCAAGAAAGUUUAUGGUCUAUGCUUUGACAUGUGAAUUGCUUGUUACUUUAUCGUGAGAAGUUUUAUGAGAUGAACUACUGUUAUGAUAUGUUAUCAUGCUAGAAAAGGUGAUUGAAAUUAUCAUUGAUAAAACUUAUGCACCUGCUAGCAUUUACACUUCAUAAAUUCUUUCUUUUAUCAUUUACCUACUCGAGGACGAGUAGGAAUUAAGCUUGGGGAUGCUGAUACGUCUCCGACGUAUCUAUAAUUUAUGAAGCAUUCAUGCUAUUUUAUUAUCUGUUUUGAAUGAUUACGGGCUUUAUUAUACACUUUUAUAUUACUUUUGAGACUAACCUAUUAACCGGAGGCCCAGCCCAUAUUGCUGUUUUAUUGCCUGUUUCAGUAUUUUGAGGAAAAGGAAUAUCAAACGGAAUGAAACCUUCGGCAGCGUGAUUUUUUGGAAGAAUAUGAUCCGGGAGACUUGGAGUUCACGUCAGAAGAUCCUCGAGGAGGCCAUGAGAUAGGAGGGCGCCCCCCCCCUACUAGGCGCGCCCCCAGUCUCAUGGGCCCCUUGAGCACCUCCCGACCGACUUCUUUCGCCUAUAUAAGCCUACGUAUCCUAAAAACAUCGAAUAUCAAGAUAGAUCGGGAGUUCUGCCGCCGCAAGCCUCUGUAGCCACCAAAAACCUCUCGGGGGCCCGUUCCAGCACCCUGCCGGAGGGGGAAUCCAUCACCAGUAGCCAUCUUCAUCAUCCUGGCGCUAUCCAUGACGAGGAGGGAGUAGUUCACCCUCGGGGCUGAGGUUAUGUACCAGUAGCUAUGUGUUUGAUCUCUCUCUCUCUCUCUCUCGUGUUCUCGACUUCACACGAUCUUGAUGUAUCGCGAGCUUUGCUAUUAUAGUUGGAUCUUAUGAUGUUUCUCCCCUCUACUCUCUUGUGAUGAAUUGAGUUUCCCUCUUGAAGUUAUCUUAUCGGAUUGAGUCUUUAUUUGAGAACACUUGAUGUAUGUCUUGCCGUGCUUAUCUGUGGUGACAAUGGGAUAUCACGUGCCACUUGAUGUAUGCUUUGGUGACCAACUUGCGGGUUCUGCCCAUGAACCUAUACAUAGGGGUUGGCACACGUUUUCUUGACUCUCCGGUAGAAACUUUGGGGAACUCUUUGAAGUACUUUGUGUUGGUUAUAUGAAUCCGAGAUUGUGUGAUGCAUAUCGUAUAAUCAUGCCCACAGAUACUUGAGGUGACAAUGGAAUAUCUAGGUGACAUUAGGGUUUUGGUUAUUUGUUACUUAAGGUGUUAUUCUAGUACGAACUCUUGAAUAGAUUGAUCCGAAAGAAUAACUUUGAUGUGGUUUCGUACCCUACCAUAAUCUCUACGUUUAUUCUCCGCUAUUAGUGGCUUUGGAGUGACUCUUUGUUGCAUGUUGAGGGAUUGUUAUAUGAUCUAUCUAUGUUAUUAUUGUUGAGAGAACUUGCACUAGUGAAAGUAUGAACCCUAUGCCUUGUUUCCUAUCAUUGCAAUACCGUUUACGCUCACUUUUAUCAUUAGUUACCUUGCUGUUUUUAUAUUUUCAGAUUACAAAUACAUUUAUCUACCAUCCAUAUUGCACUUGUAUCACCAUCUCUUCGCCGAACUAGUGCACUUAUACAAUUUACCAUUGUAUUGGGUGUGUUGGGGACACAAGAGACUCUUUGUUAUUUGGUUGCAGGGUUGUUUGAGAGAGACCAUCUUCAUCCUACGCCUCCCACGGAUUGAUAAACCUUAGGUCAUCCACUUGAGGGAAAUUUGCUACUGUCCUACAAACCUGUGCACUUGCAGGCCCAACAACGUCUACAAGGAGAAGGUUAUGUAGUAGACAUCACGACCUAUGUUGCAAAAAAUAAAUCCCGCAACAUGACCAAUGCUGCAAAAAAUCCGCAACACAAUCUAUGUUACAAGAGUUCCCGCAACAAGAUCAUUGUUGCAAAGAAGAGAAAGACAUCUAGCCGCUUGAUUUUGUCGUAUCUAAAUGCCCGUGAGGCAGCAGAGCUUUUAGAAAGAUCCACCGGCAAACGCGUAGCAGCCCCCUUAUAAUAAUCUCAUAAUCGGAUGAUUUACAUCAUAGUGAUAUGCUUACAUUCAAUUCUUUGACGAGGUCCUCCAUGAGCUUUCCAUUUGUAAGAGUACGCCUAACGCACUCAUCCAUUUUAUUUUCAAGGUUGAACAUCCCAUCGACUUGUUGUGUAUCAGCUGAGGGAGUCCUGGACUAGGGGGUCCUCGUGAUACCGGCCUAUCUCUAAUGGGCCGGAUAGGUGGGCUGCUACACGACAACCACAGGGCUGAGAUAUUGGCCGACUCCGUGUCCGGAGAGGAAACCCUCGGAUUCUUGGUGUGUCCUCCAAGUCAAGAUGGAAGAUUCAACAUGUUUAUUCCCCGGUUGUAACCAACCAUGUGUAACCCUAAUACCCCUCUUGUCUAUAUAAACUAGAGGGUUUUAGUCCGUAGAGGGUAGAACAACAUCCAUCAUCCUACUUACCUAGGGUUUAGUUCAUCUGAUCUUGUGGUAGAUCGACUCUGUAAUCAUCAUAUACACCUCAAUAUAAUCAAGUAGGACGUAUGGUUUUACCUCCUAGAGAGGGCCCGAACCUGGGUAAACAUCUUCCCAUGUUCCCCAUUGAUCCACGAUCCACUUCUAGGGACCCCCUACUCGAGAUCCGCCGAUUUUGGCACCGACACCGGCCUCCCACACGAGGGACCCAACUUCCUUCAAAUUAGUCAAUACAUAGUCGACGAGUACUUUAAUCUGCAACUUUGAAUCAGUUUGAAGCAUAUAACCUAGAUAGUAGUUGCAAUGUUACAAUCUAUAUUUGUACCUGAUGUAACUCAUUUACCUAACUGCCAGUCUUCGGUUUGGCCAGUGUAACAUCUGCUGGCGGAAUGAAAGGCCGCAUCAGGUCCUCAACAUACUGCAAUUUAGUGUCCUUAGUAUAAUUCAAAAUAUAUGGUACAUAAUCCAAGCAUAGUACUGACACUUUACCACCCCAACUUCUAGAUGAUUUUUCUGGACUAUGCUGUCAACCUUGUGUGCCUUCUCCUGACUCCAGUUCUGGAUCAGCGGUCUUAACCUUGAUACAUACGAGAUGCUAGAGUCCAAUUGGUUCACCCUGAACUUCUCAUAGUACCACGUCUGCAUGAUAACAAAGCCGUUUAGAAACUUUGUCGUAGGUUACGUAAUGUAUGUUAGGUAACUGAUGAUUGUAUUGCUGCGAAUUAGCUGCAAUAGUGGUAGGUUCCCCUCAAGAUUUGCUUCACCAUUUACAAAAUUCUUGACGCCAGCCAUAAGAUAGUCAAAUGUUAGUUGUCAUGUUAUUUCGCGGUGUCCUUGGCAGGGAUUUAGAAAUGUUGGUCGUCAUCUUGGUUUGAUUUUCAUUGCCUCCAGGGCGGCGAUUUAGCUGUGUUGUGUCGCUAUCUGGGUUGAGCAUCACAUGUCUCCUGCUCUGUGCACCAUGUAUACGCCUUCUACGUCUGUGUCAUGUGUUGUACCACAGCUUGUAUUCACUCCCAACUUCUUCUAUAAAUAAAAUGAUAUGCAAGCUUUGCGUAUUCGUGAAAAAGGACUCAGUUACUUGUUCGUGCUUGUACCGUUGUACAGGAAUAUAUCAAGCCAGCCUUGUAUGUGCAUGUCUUCAUGGAUACAGAAUAAGUUUGGGUGGUCGUGGUCGUCAUCGCCCUCAUCAUGCACACUCACGCCUAUUGAGCUACAGCGGGAGGCGGCCAUGGUGACCUGCUCAAGCCAGUGUAAUGUCAAGAGCAGAGAGAGCGGCGAUGCAGCGAGAUGGGGUUCUUGAUGUAGUCUGAGACACAACCCAGAGCAUCGCCGCAUAUGCGCGUCCCUAGUAGUAGCGCUUGUGUUAUAGCUAUUAAUAGCGCUUGUACAAGCGCUACCAGUAAGACGCUACAGCUAACUGGUAGCAGUACCGCUGGUUUUCCAGCGCAACUGCUAUACCUAUUUAGCAGUAGCGCUUGGUAGUGAAAAGUGCUACUGAUACUAGUAAGUAGCAGUAGCGUUUCUUUUGAAAAGCGCUACUGCUAAAUUUUCCUGUAUUUUUUCAAAUGCAGCUUAUUGUCGCUGUAUUUGUAUAGGUUUUGUAUACAGUAUUUUCAUCAUAUGAUUUUAUGACCAUGAUUAGUUAUGUUAUAACAGUGGGUAAAUGAAUAUGGGUUAGAUUUAAGUAGAGGCAACAUGUGGUGCAUGUCGAAAGUAUUACUAACCCAAACUUGAUCUAGUUUGGAUUAGUAGUACUUUUGAUGUGCACUACAUGUUGCCUCUACUUGAAUCUAAUCCAUGUUCAUUUCACCCACUGAUAUAUAUAAUAACUCAUCAUGCUCAUAUAACAACUUAGCAUCAUGCAUCAUCAUAAUAACUUGGUCAUCAUUUUCGUCCAUGAGACAUCAUAUAACAACUUGGUCACUAGUCAUAAUCACAACUCCUCAUCAUCAUCAUCAACUCUAACACAUUGUAGCACAUAAUAACACAUUGUACCUACGACUUACUCCUCUCUCAUAGGACCUACUACGCUCUCUAAGGUAAAAUAGCAUAAAACAAGAUAGGCCCUUACUCUCCAUUAUGGAGAAUGGAGACUAUCAUGUCUCCAAUUCUAGCGCUUCGCACGAUGUUGCUUCCAAGUAGCUCCCUAUGAUUGUUCAUACAUUUUUUUCCAUUCUUUGAUUGUCAUGUCUUGAUCGGUUUUAGAAAUCCGGUAUGAACAGUUGUGAAGCCUAGACACACAAUCCUUCGGGAUUUUCUUCGAAAAAACAUAAUAAAAUCAUUGUAGUUAGCAAUGUAGUUUAGCUUUAGAAGAAUAUAUGCAAAAGAUGCACGGAUGUCGUAAUAGUAAAAAAUCUUACCAUGCCAUCUCCAUGGAUGUUACCGUAGGUCAGCACGUGCACUAGUGGCACGUAUUGACCAUAAUGUGCAGGAGUUUGAUAAUUGAUAUUUUAAUUCUCAACAUCGGUAAUAAAUGAGAUAAUAUGAUCUUUCUCCUGAUAAGUUAAUUCUGCGCCAUCGGUGUAGUAGGUUCUGUCUACCAUCUUUCUUACAUUUUUUGAAGAAUGAAAAUAUGUUGUCAAUGGAAAUAAGAUAUCAACUAUUUUGAAAUAAACAAUAUAAAUUACUUAACAAAUAUGUUUGAGAAACUCACAUAGCGGUAGAAUUGAAAGCGUAUCAACAAGGACCCAAAUGUCCAUAUUCUCUUUGUCGUUGUCACGAUCACCAAGAUCCAAGGUGACAACCAUACCCUCAUGAAAAUCAUAUGUCUUGCAAAGUGCUUCCCAAUACGGGCAACCAAAAUGGGAUACACUCUUAGAAUUGUAUAGAUUUACAGCAAAAUCAUAUCCAUGAUGGGUCCAUAGGUGAAUUAUCUUUGUUUCCAUAGUUUCAUAAUCUUCAAAAUCCAGCCUCUCCAAGACAUAGCGUCUUGCAUGGCAUGGGAUAAGCUAGUCGAAUUGUAAAAGACGAAAAUUACAUGUUGAAGAAGCAGAAGUCGUGCUUAAUUACAAAAAAACACUUGUCGUCGAUGCGCACCGUUUCAACAUCGAAGGUCUCCUGGAGCUUAACACUGAAGCGUCGAACUUCUACCAGGUGAGGCCUGUCGCACAGACCCCGAUCAUCGCCGCAUCAGUCGCACUCCGGGAGCCUAUCUUCGUCGGACGAUAUUUCCUAUGUUCAUAAUUCAAAUAUUAAACUUCUAAAAUUAAAUAUAUGUACUACAAAAACUAAAUUAGAUCAUUAUUAUUCAUCACGUGUUGACUAUCGAUCUGUCGAGUCCCACGACAAGGAGAAGAAGGAGAAGGGACCCCCACGACAAUAGUCGGCAUUCUUCUUCUCUCAUAUAUGGUGGAGACUCUCCCUCACUGAUUUUUUGACUGUCAUAUAUGGAGCCCCGACAGACUUAAACUCAACUCAAAAUGUCAUUUAAUUCUCUUUCAAGCAAAUCCAGGCACCCGAUAUUUCCUACAUAUUCUAGCACAAGUCAUGCUAAAAUUCAUGGAAACAAUCCGGCAUGAACUUUGCUAAAAUAGGACAUAUCGAGUGCCUGAAAUUUGCCGGAACGGAAAUGAACCAUUGAUGUCUACUACACAACCUUCUUCUUGUAGACGUUGUUGGGCCUGCAAGUGCACAGGUUCGUAGGACAGUAGCAAAUUUCUCUCAAGUGGAUGACCUAAGGUUUAUCAAUCCGUAGGAGGCGUAGGAUGAAGAUGGUCUCUCUCAAACAACCCUGCAACCAAAUAACAAAGAGUCUCUUGUGUCCCCAACAUACCCAAUACAAUGGUAAAUUGUAUAGGUGCACUCGUUUGGCGAAGAGAUGAAGAUACAAGUGCAAAAUAGAUAGUAGAUAUAGGUUUUUGUAAUCUGAAAUAAUAAAAACAGCAAGGUAGCGAGCGGUACAAGUGAGCGUAAACGGUAUUGCAAUGGUAGGAAAUAAGUCCUAGGGUUCAUACUUUCACUAGUGUAAGUUCUCUCAAUAAUAAUAACAUAGAUAGAACAUAUGACAAGCCCUCAACAUGCGACAAAGAGUCACUCCAAAGACACUAAUAGUGGAGAACAAACAUAGAGAUUAUGGUCGGGUACGAAACCACCACAAAGCUAUUCUUUCGGAUCGAUCUAUAAAAGAGUUCGUACUAGAAUAACACCUUAAGAUACAAGUCAACCAAAACCCUAAUGUCACCUAGAUACUCCAUUGUCACCUCAAGUAUCCGUGGGCAUGAUUAUACGAUAUGCAUCACACAUCUCAGAUUCAUCCAACCAACAUAAAAGUACUUCAAAGAGUGCCCCAAAGCUACUACCAGAGAGUCAAGAACGUGUGCCAACCCCUAUGCGUAGGUUCCCAAGUGUCACAAAACCCGCAAGUUGAUCACCAAAACAUACAUCAAGUGGAUCAAUAGAAUAACCCAUUGUCACCACGGUUAUCCCAUGCAAGACAUACAUCAAGUGUUCAUAAUAGACUCAAUCCGAUAAAAUAACUUCAAAGGGGAAACUCAAUUCAUCACAAGAGAGUAGAGGGGGAGAAACAUCAUAAGAUCCAACUACAAUAGCAAAGCUCGGGAUACAUCAAGAUCGUGCCAUAGAGGAAACAUGAGAGAGAACACGAGAGAGAGAGAGAGAGAGAGAGAGAUCAAACACAUAGCUACUGGUACAUACCCUCAGCCCCGAGGGUGAACUACUCCCUCCUCAUCAUGGAUAGCGUCGGGAUGAUGAAGAUGGCCUCCGAUGAUGGGAUCCCCCUCCGGCAGGGUGCCGGAACAGGGUCCCGAUUGGUUUUUGGUGGCUACAGAGGCUUGCGGCGGCGGAACUCCCGAUCUAUUUUUUGUUCUGGAAGUUUUAGGGUACGUAGGUAUAUAUGGGUGCAGGGAGAACGUCGGUGGAGCUACGGGGGCCCCACGAGGCAGGGGGGCGCGCCCAGGGGGGAGGGCGCACCCCCACCCUCGUGAGCACCUCCCGUAUCUUCUGACGUGGGGUCCAAGUCCAUCAGGUGGGUUUCCUUCCAAAAUUAACUUCUCCAGUUGAUUUCGUUCCGUUUUGACUCCGUCUGAUAUUCCUUUUCCUCGAAACACUGAAAUAGGCAUAAAACAGCAAAUCUGGGCUGGGCCUCCGGUUAAUAGGUUAGUCCCAAAAAUAAUAUAAAAGUGGAUAAUAAAGCCCAAUAUUACCUAAAACAAUAGAUAAAGUAGCAUGGAACAAUCAAAAAUUAUAGAUACGUUGGAGACGUAUCAACCAUACUCCGACAAAACAUAGGCCACUCGGAUUUUCCCUGCGAUACAAAGAUGUCCAUACGCAUACAACGAUGCUUAAACUUGAAAUUCUAUCCGGAUCAAUUAUCAUAAGCAUUCGCACAUGAGCAUUCAAACUGGUGCUCAUUGCAUUUCAAUGGUUCAAUAUUGACAAAAACAUUUCAAUAUAUGUUAUAACCCGAACAUUUCAUUUGGUUAAGAAGCAUAACUAAAUACCCUAGUUCUACUCUAUUCAACACACCGCGGAGUAGAGAAGGAGGAGGUGGACUUUUAGCUCACCGUCUCAGGUGUAGAGGAAGUAGAUGUAGCUCGGCUGACGAUCACUCCAAGGAGACACGACUCUAAAGAGCCUGCAUAUUCCACUGAGUGAAAAUUUUAGAUCAUCAAAUCUUUCUGUAUUGACAUAAAAAUAAUUAAAUUUUAUAAUACAUUUCUAUAUUGAAAAACAAAAUUACAAAAUAUUUCUAUACCUAAAUUUUCUUACUAAAAAUUUUUAUUACUAAAUUUGAUACCUAAAAAUUUCUCAUAUAGCAUUCUAAUACAUUUCUAUAAUUGAAAUUUGUCUAUACCUAAAAAAUUAUAUUACUAAACUUUUCUAUUUUAUUCUAUUCAAAAUACCUAAAUUCUGUUCAUAUAACUUAUAUGUUCUAUUUUAUUCAAAAUAACAUAGAUGGGGGAGGGAGGAAGGNNNNNNNNNNNNNNNNNNNNNNNNNNNNNNNNNNNNNNNNNNNNNNNNNNNNNNNNNNNNNNNNNNNNNNNNNNNNNNNNNNNNNNNNNNNNNNNNNNNNNNNNNNNNNNNNNNNNNNNNNNNNNNNNNNNNNNNNNNNNNNNNNNNNNNNNNNNNNNNNNNNNNNNNNNNNNNNNNNNNNNNNNNNNNNNNNNNNNNNNNNNNNNNNNNNNNNNNNNNNNNNNNNNNNNNNNNNNNNNNNNNNNNNNNNNNNNNNNNNNNNNNNNNNNNNNNNNNNNNNNNNNNNNNNNNNNNNNNNNNNNNNNNNNNNNNNNNNNNNNNNNAGGAGGAGGAGGAGGGCCGCCGGAGGGAGGAGAGAGGAGGAUGAGGAGGAGGAGGGAGAGAGGAGGGCCGCUAGAGGAAGGAGAGAGGAGGGCGGGCGGAGGAAAGAGGAGGAGGUAGGAGGAGGAGGAGGAGAAGGGGGGAGAGGAGGGCCGCCGGAGAAUCAUACCUUGGCGGCGACGGCGGGCGACGUCGCACGGCGGAGAGAGAGAGCGAGUGAGUGUGUGAGGGGAGAGUGAGGACGCGCAGUGGUUUGGAUAUGGUGCCCGUAGUAGUAGCGCUGGUUGGUAACCAUCGCUAUUGCUAAGCUCCAUAGCAGUAGCGCGUUAAGGGAACCAGCGCUACUGCCAUGAUCAAUAUCAGUAGCGCUUUUAGAGAACCAGCGCUACUACUAAGGCUAAGCAUCUAAAAAAUCAAAAAAAAACAUUGGUCAUCAAUGAUCUUUUUGUGUAGAAUCUAAAUUGUCAGUAUGAAUCUUCACCAGUUUAGGAACCAGUGAGGAUUCAUAUUGCGACAACAAAUUCUACACAUAGAGUACAAUGAAGGCAAAGUGGUGGUGAUAGUUUGAGAAGCACCAUAUUUAAGGUGGUAAUCAUUCUGUUUGCGGAGCAAGGUGGGACUAAACUUGGGUCCUAGGAGGGGACUGAAUUUAGCAGUAGCGCUGGUUGAAAAAAAGCGCUACUGCUAAGUACAAUAGUAGUAGCAUUUUUUUCGUAAGAGCGCUACUAGCAUACCUAAGUUGUCGGCAACGUUGUGACAGUUAUAGUAGUAGCGCGUUUUUAACUACGCGCUACUGCUAUGUCCAUAGUAGCAGCGCUCUUUCUGUGCAAGCGCUACUGAUAAUUAGCAACCUCGCUUCCUUUUAAAAAGCGCUAUUGAUAAGCUUCUGUGUAUAAGGUUUUCUCUAGUAGUGUCGGUCCAGGCCUCCAGCAUCGCGCUCCAACAACGGUGCUUUGCUGCGAGCGCUUCCACCGCGAAGGCCGUGUGAAUCAGCCUAGACAGUGGCAGUGGAUCCCUGAUGUGUUAUCUUCACGAGCUGUGGAAGGAGCUCGUCGUCGUGAAUGAGCUCUGUGAGCUGCAGCAGGAGCUUGUCGUCGCGGACGGCAAUGACCCUUCGGGACACGGCGUCGACAAAGCUGACGGCUCGCCCUGGCUGCAUCUCCUUCCACCGAUGUAUCCUGCGGGCUGCAACUCGUCAACUCGCUACCACCUUCUAAGGAUCCUCUAGCCUAUUGCCAUUGAUGGAUCUGAGAGGAAAGGGGACAGGAGGAGAGAGAUGGGAGCGAGGAAGAAGAUGGCAAGAUGCGUUGACCAGCGCUACAGCGAGAGAAGCGAUUUCAUGCUCAGGAUUGUGCUUUUUUUGGUGUAGUAUAUGAUAGACUGGGAUAGAAAAGGUCAGGGUACCGAUUUCAGAGAAUUGAUGGCGAAGGUUCGUUUUUGUAUGUAUCUGCGACCUUUAUAUUUAGACUUCACUCGUGAUAUAAGUGAUAUUGUUGUGCACCCGGUUUAAUGGAAUAGAUGUUUUCAUUUGAAGAAAAACGAACUUAUUGGACAGAGACACUGAUGCUCGUACCAUGUUCAACAUAUUCAGUUUGUUGGGAUGGAACAAUCAUUUUUUUUUUUGAGGUAAUAGCACGCUCCUGGAAAAAAAAAUGCACUGCUCCACGAAACCAGAACAGCUCGUCCCCCAUAUCCACUCGUCCGACGGCGCCGGCGGCGCGACCGGAGGCCGGAGCUCCUCCCGCCCAGACCCCCGUCCCUUCCUCCUCUCCGUCUCUUGCAGUCUGAGCUCAACUACCCCAAGGCGCCCUUCCUCCUCCGCCGCAUCCCGAUCUGAUGGCCGGAUCUUGGAACUGGGCGGAUCUACCGGACGGGCCGACGGCGCUCAUCGCCGACCGCGUCCUCGCCUUCGACGUCGCCGACUACGUUCGCUUCCGCGCCGUGUGCCUCCCGUGGCGGCGGUGCUCAGCGGGCCCCCGCGAGCACGGCAGCCUCGACCGCCGGUUCCAUCCCCGGCGGUGGACCAUGCUCCGGGAGGAGCUCGCGGCGCCCAACCGCCGCUCCUUCCUGAACACCUCCACCGGCGAGUGUGUCCAGGUGGACCUCCCGGAGCUCCAUGACCACACUGUGCUCGCCCUCACCCCCGAGGGCCUCCUCAUUCUGCUCCACAAGCUGCAGCGCACCACCGUCCGCCUGCUCAACCCAUUCACCGGCCACCUCACGGAACUCCCGCCGCUCACCACGCUGCUAUCUCCACCGCACCACCACAUGCUUAUGUCUGGCAUUGACCGUUUGGAAAGGGUGUUCGCAGCGUGGGGCUCCGGCGUUGCCAAUGAUGAUUCCACAGUUGUGCUCUGCUUCUACAAGCUGGGCGUGCUUGGCAUGGCCAAGCCGAGCGAUGACCACUGGACGUUGGUGAAAUGCAGAUUUAAUUCAAUGGGAGCACCCUUAAUGCUGGCAGGCCGCUUCUACUGCGUUUGCUUGCACAAUGGUCUCAUGGUGCUGGAAACCAGCGCGGAUCAGCCACCACGGCUGGAGAUGGCCUCCCAGCUGAAUUUCAGUGCCUCUACGAUUGGUUAUAGUGUGCACCUGGUGAACAAUUGUGGGGAGCUCAUGCUGGUGCACCGUUGGUGUGGACCAUUGUCACCGGUCAACAGAGUGGGUUAUUGGUACGAUGCAUAUCGAGUGGAUUUGGACAAGCGGAAGAUAUUCCCGGUCAACAGCUUGGGCGGCGCCGCAGGGCGUGUGGUGUUCAUGGGCAUGCAUUGCUCUCUAUUGGUGUCUCUAGAGAAUUUCCCCUCCGGUUCCAUAACUGCUGACACCAUCUACUUAGGCUUUGACAUUGCUGAAAGAGCGGAGUUUAAAGUUGGAGCAUAUCAUCUCGCAGAUGAAAGCAUCGAAGGCACCAGCAGAUAUCAGGGUCGCUUGGUGCCACGGCCGCAUACUCUUGUUGACUGUCUAUCUUUAGCCAAUACUGUCUGACGAGCUAUCCCAUUUCCUUGAUGCUUAGCAUGCAUGUAUGUGCGAUAUGUACUCUUGUAUCCCAUUUGGUUAGCUACUAUUUGAGUCUAUGUAUCUAGCUAGAGUUAUCAGUUAUGUAGAGAUGACUGGUCGUGUUAUGCACUCUUUUUUGCUGAGUUUCGUUUGAAGAUGUGCACAUGCAGGUUUGUAUGCGUACUAUUUGGAAACGAAGUGUGUUGCACUGUCUUGCAUGAGUGCAAUUAUUUGCCUAAUCAAUUUGUGACCAUGCCUAAAAGAAGAGCAACUGGUUUCCUUUGUCGGAAAGCAAGCCUGUCUGCUUUCAUGGCUGGAAGGUUGUUUUGGGCUGGGGUGACAUUGUGAGAUCUUUGGGAAAAGAUGGUUAGUUGAAUAACAAACCUCCUUCUGCCCUUUACCAUGAUUUAUAUGACAAAUGUAAGCAUAUGCAUUUUCUUGCAAGUUACUCCUUCCUGCCUUCUAACAUGCCGUUGAGAAAAGAUGUGUAACCUUGUACCCAUCACACAUGCACCAUGAAGUUAUUUUGUUAAUAGAGAUUUGAUAUUAGUACAGUUUGUAAACUUGUUGUCUCAGUGAUCUCUACGGUCAGGUUAGUGGUCACUUGACGUUGUUAGGUCAAACUUGACUAUUGCUUUUUUAGUAAGGUUAGCAAAAUAUCUAUCAAUCUAUGUAAAUUCAGAACUUCCUUUGGACAUGAGCUCAAGGUUUUAGUUGUUCAGAUUGAGCCAGGUUUGUUUGUCAACUUUGCUUAUCAUGUUAGGAACUUUUUUGAGUCACUUUGCACGAAUUUGCAGUUCCCCAGUUGAAGGAUUUUGCCCAUGCUUGAAAUACGCUUCACAAUUUUCAGCAUGUAAGUUAAGAUGCAAGCAAAUAUGUCUUUUCAAUCAAUCUCGUUUGGAACUUCACUUCCUAGUCCCUGUUUAAGUUUAUUCAUGUUUAAUUUGCAGGUUCCCCUGUGGACCUUGCAAAACAUUAUAUGAGUUACCAUUAUUCGACCCCAACCUAGUUGUUUUGUUGGAGCCAAGUAUUUCUUGAUAGCAAAGCGGAAGCGGGCAACACUGGCUAUUUUGGGUGUUCAGGAGAACCACUUGUUCAGAAGCUGGAUGAAUUUAACAUUGACAACCCUGGACUUCCUAUGAAUGGCUAUAUGACUUUAUGUGGCUGGUCAGCAUUAUGUUUUGUUUACUGCACAUCAUUCUUUUCCCCUCUCAGAGAUAGAUAUUCAUGUUUGCUCCACAUGUCAUAGUCUUGGUUUUUUAUGGUGCUAGAUGUCCGUAUGGCUCAUAUUACUUACUCAACUGCAAAACUGCGGCAUUUGUUGCCAAUAAAUCUUGAUUUAUGUCUAGCAGGUACUGAGCUCUUCCAGUGAUGUGAAUGCCUCACCAUUUUCAUCAUCCAACACAGAUCCCAAUUUUUGGUUGCUGGCAGCAGUCAGGCAAUUUGUUAAAAAAUUCUGAAAUUAAAUUAAGCUAUGGGUAUUGCACCUGUAUAUUAUUGUUUCUACUCCCUCCGUUCCAAAAUAUAGUGCUUCCUCUAUUCCCGUGCUUCAAUUUUAACCAUAAAUUUAACCAACAAGACCGACUGCGGCGGGAGCAAAAGUUAUAUCGGUGAAUUCGUAUUCAAUUUUUUUUUCAAUUAUAUAAUUUUUUUCCCCGCCGCAGUUGGUCUCAUUGGUUAAAUUUAUGGUCAAAUUUGGACCCCGGGAAGCGCGGGCGCACUAUAUUUUGGAAUGGAGGGAGUAUUAUAUAUUCAGCUUAACAAGGCAUUUGACAUAUGGAGUGUAUUUAUGGUUGACAUGAUGUAAAAUGUAGUUUUUACUUUUAUCGAUAUAAGGGCAUAUUGUCGCAUGUCCCAACAUUGAUGAGGUAGAAGUAGCAAACUGUCCUUUUUUAUUGGUAUUGUGCAUCGACACAUUUAGACCUAGAGUUUUACCUCAAUUGGGAACUUUCUCCAUCAGACUAUAUUUUGCAGAGCUUUUCUAUAUCCUCAGUUUUCCUUACAGGUGUAGAAAGGAAUAUUUUGGAUUGUUCGGAAGUCAAAUGCCUCCUUCCAAAGAUGCUUGUGCAAGUCCUCCUGUUUCAGAUUUCGCUGAAGGCUGUUCACCUCUUAAGGUCCCCGAAAAAAAAAGUUCACCUCAUAAUGAAAUUCCUAGUUUAAAAAGACUUGCUUGGGACUGGUGAAUCUUUGUGGACUAUAGAUAGAUAGAGGAAUAUCGGAUAUGGUGAAUCUUCUAGUGAUAAUGUUCCUCCUGUCCACCAUAAUAAAAAACAAGACGGUUGAGAAGAUAUUCAAACAACUUGACAUGAUAGGAGAAACCGCCUGGGCAACAAUCUGUUACUGGAAAUCCAACUCGAUCAAAGGGAAACGUUUGGGGCCGGGGCGCCGGCUGAACCACCCGGCCGGUCGCGCGCGACCCGUGCGAUCCCCUCCCAUCGUAUGGCCAGCCUUUCCGCGUGGAUGGGACAUGAGGCUGACGGGGCCCACCAAUCGCUCGCCAUUUAAACGCCCCACGCGGCUGCACUGCUUCCUCUCUCUCUUUCAUCUCUCCGGUCCCUACCUCAGUUGGCCGUCCUCGUCGCCUUUUGCCGUCCCCGUCGGCCGUCCUCAUCGCCGGUGGCCACCCGCACCGGCCGUCCUCGCUCGCCGGCCUCGGCGGAAGUUGGAACCGCGUUGUUUCCUGCUGCGACCGGUGCCCAGGAGAGCUGCCAUCAUGGAUGGCGAGCAUGGUGACGGCGAGCUGCGAGGACAGCGGUGCUGUUCCGAGCAACACUGCAGAUGUCGUGUUUUGUGCUACGUGCUACAACUAGUGUUACAUUUUGCUACAACCGGCAUCCCACUCAGCUACAAUCGGCGUUGCGUUUUGCUACCAUGGUUUGAGUCCACGAGCUCAUAAGCCAUGGCCGCACGUGCGAUGGGGCUGAGCACCGGUGCUACCAUGACAGGGGGCAUCACCUGCGAGCUCACAUGCAAUUCACCCAUGGCUUACAAGCUCGAGGCGGACGGCGAGCUGGGAGCACCAUGGGAGACUCCCCCUGAUGUUGCAACGGGCGGUCUGGAAAGCUACAACCGAUGCAAAAAAAAGCUUCAACCAGCGACGGCUGGAGGUGGAAGAAGAUGACAAAACGCUGCAGUUUUGCUACAUGCUUCAACCGGCAUAGAUUUUGCUACAACCGGCAUAGAUUUUGCUACAACCGGCAUAGCAUUUUGCUACGAUCGGUGUCACGUUUUGCUACAACACAUAACUUUUCUCUGGUUGCAGUGUCAGGUUGGAGCUUUCUUUCUUAACGGUUGAAACUUUUUCAUACACGGUUGAAGCUUUUUCCGUCCACGGUUGAAGCUUUUGUGUAAACGAUUGAAACUUUUUUUGUUUUGAGCAGCCCUUGGUUAAAGCUCUCUCUAUCAUCUGGUUGAAACUUUUUUCAUCUAAGGUUGAAGCAUUUUGCAUCAGCGGUUGUAUCUCCUCGUGAAUCGCAGUGGCAGUUGAAGCUUUUCCAUCUAGGGCUUGAAGCUUUUCCAUCCAGGGGUUGAAGCUUUUUUAACAACGUUUGCAACACAGAGGGUGUGCGACGGUUCAAGCCUUACCUCGGUUCAGACGUGAGCUCGUCUUCGAGGGCGCGCGUCCGGUGAUCUUCGCCGCCGCAGCUCCGACCGUCGCAGCGGAGUUGUGACCAUCGCCAGGGGAGCUGCAACCGGCGCACACGCUGCUGCAUGCGCCGGGCCAGCAUGAAACACAGGUGGCCACUGGCGGCGAGGGCGGAAAACGGCGGCGAGGGCGGCAGCCGGUGGCGAGGGCGGUGACCGGUGCCGGGGGCGGCCAAGCCCGGUGGUGCUUCGAGUCUGGGUGCCUCGCUCAUCCAUGGCGGCUAGAUGUGUACAACAGCGAAGGAAGAGAUGAGCUACGUUGACUUGGUGAGGAUUAGAUCUGACGGUUAAUACAGAGGUAAGUCGGGCGGCUGCGGUGUGACCGGCCGAAACUUUCGGCCGGCGCACCGGCGCAGAUUACUGCCCCAAAACAAACCUGCUUGUAGAAACUUUUUCAAACCUUGUAACUUCGCACUUGCUUUCUCUUUCUCUUUGUCUUCUCACACACUUAACUGUGUGAAUAUUUUUAGCCAGUGAAACACCUUGUAACACACUUGUAUACCCUGGUUACUAAUUUAAAAGGUCGGUAGGACCCUCUACUAUCAGUUGAUGCUAAAAGAAAAAAACCUCCUUGUCAAGACAAUGGGCCAAAGGGUCUAAGGGCAUCUACAACCGGACCCCUUACACGCCCCAAGCGCCCGGACGAGCUGCUUGGUGAGUGUCCAGACGAAAAAACACCACCCAACCGGGCUCCCCAUAUCCGGCCCAAACGCCUGGACUGACCGGCACUCACCGUGUCUAGCCUAUAUGUGGGGUGGAUAUGUGGAUGCUUGGACGUGCCCGCCAUGUCCGAUCCGGUCCACUCUAGCCCACUCGACCCCACAUAAAUUGGAUCCUAUCCCCACUCUGGAUGAAAUCUGCUACUUUUGUAUUUAUACAUGAUCUUUCGUUAUGCACCAUAAUCUGUGCUAGAAGUUCUGAAACACACCCCUAUUUAGUAGUACAACGUUACUUGAAUUUUCCAUGUUAUAUUAAAUUGGUGCAUCGGCUUGACUUUAGCUCUAGCUCCGCCCUACAUUUUUGGAACACUCUCAAAUGCCUGGAAUGGAAAAUUAGACACUAUGACAAUAAUCUGUGGUGCACAUUUGCGCAACUAGUUUUUACGUACAUUUUCAUGUGUCAGAGUCAUAUUUCAUCAUUAUAUUUCUAUUGUCUUGAAGUGAACCUCUUAAAAUAUCGUAAGUUUUAAAAUUAGGUAUUGAGCUAAUUUAGUUCAUUUGCAAGGUGUCUUAAACCUCUUAAAGGUUAAUACUGAUCAUUGUUUUAAUGUAAUGGCAAUGGUGGGUAAUUUUUUAGUUUAAAGUGGAUCCAACGGUUGCGCUUUUCAAAAAUAAAAAAUUAAAGGCCAGAUCUAGCAGUGUGAUCCGCACAUUUGCGCGGCUAGAUUUAGUACAUAUUUUUAUAUUGAUUUAUAUUUCUUUAUAGCUAGUGAACUUUCACUCAAAAUGUGACCGAACAUAUAUGCUUUGUCCAGACAUGCACUCUGGCAAGCAUGUCUCUACUAAUUCUAUUGUGUUGUUAUUAUAAAAUAAUAAACAUAAGACCAAUAGCAUUGGAGCUUUGCGCUCAUGGUGUAACUCAUGGAAUUUUGGACUAAUUAGUAAUUUAGGGCUUUUUUUAGGACGCAGAUUUUUGGCUCCGAGGUGCUCCACCCACCCAUAUCCUCGCCUGUCGUUACUUUGGCCUGAUCACAACAUUUAAUAGAAAAUGAUUUCAGUCUAAGGCAAUACAGAUUCAAUACCCUGGCGUAAUACGAGCUGUGGGGUCUGUUAGGGUUAUUAAUGCGGGACAUAUAGGACAGAGGGUACAUGAAAAAAAUUAAUUUCCACUCUCUCCCUCACCUAAUUCUGUACACAUGGACCGGCGCUCGUUAAUGACGGAUGAGAGUGAUUCAUUUGAGUACCUACUUAUGUGAGACUCGGAUAGUUGCAGAAAAAAUGUUUCAUGAUACGUGGUUGAUCCUUAACGAGAUGGUACAUAAAUAAAUACCUACAAGGCUACAAGGGCAGGUCUUAGUGUACUCCUACUUAAAUAUCCUGGUUAAGUAAAUGCGCCAUUAACAUGCUGGUUUACUUAAUAUCCUGGAUACUUAGGAGUGUAGUUCAGGUGCCUUUCCAGGAAGUUUGCUUAUUAUCCUGGCUAUAUCUCUACUCUCUACCUAAUCUUUAUCUUUACCUCUUUACCUACUAAUAAAGCACCGAUGGCUUCUGGUCGUACGUCGUCGCGCGCGAUUUUGCGAAAACCCCCCUCUAUUUCUUUGAAAUCAACCCGCAGUCCCUGUUUAAGUGACACCCUGGAAAAACGUUUAGUUUUUGCAUAAAACCCCCUGCAUUUGUUACAAACACAAACUGGUACUCCGUACAUGCGAGAUAAAAGAAAAAAAGAAACAGCCAUGACCCGUCCUCCUCGGCCAUGUCUGCCUCCCGAUCCCACCUCCAGCCCGCCGCCCAUCCCGCCCCACCGUGCCCGCAGGUCGCCGCCGUGCGUCGCCACCGCCUACCCCGCUGGCGGGCCCAUCCCUAUCUCUGGAUCGAGGUGGGUCAACGAGUGUGUGGGACGACGGCAGGCGGCUCUCUCGCUUGAUCCGAUUGAGUGAGGUCUGCACAGGGUGGUGGCAGACGAGUUGGAUGCGUGGAACGACGACGGCGUCCGGAUCCAGGCGAGCGGCAGAUGGACCUUGCAAGGCGUUGGGGUUCUCCUGGGUGGCGCCAUGGUUGCGCCGCCGUGCUCCUCAAAGAAAACGAGGAAGCAUGAGGGGGAGAGAGAGAGGGGAAAACCAAGAAGAAGGAGAGAAACGAGAGAUGGCACGGCAUGGCGAGCAUGGCGGCGAGAACCCAAGUUGCUCCCUCCAGCGUGCCCCUCCAUGGCUCCCGCACUUCUCUGUGAGGAUUAGAACUCAAAAAUAGUCCCACCUCGCUCAUGUGCAUCCAAUCCAAUCAAUUUAUAUACGCGAGCGACUUUGCCGCAUCAGAAAUCAACCAGUGAAGGAGGAACAGAACGAAGGAGCUUAUAAUCAAAGAGGGAAAAGAGGGGAGAAUACACGCAAUCCAUAGUUCGAAGGAAGAACUCUGAAUCAGAUAAGCGCGCAAUCAGCAGCUAACAAAACAGCCAUAGGUCCAAACCAAAUCGGAUCAAUCGACAGGCGACGGCCUGGGAAAUCAGAUCGGCAGGUCUGUCCAUUGAAUCAACAACAUCUGUAAAAAAGCAGAUGGGGAGGAUUAAAACAAGCCGCAUCAAAAUGGGAACGGAGCGAAUCCGGGCAUGGUCACCACCGCGAGCUAGGCCCCAAGCAAGGCGACUACAAGACAGUGCCCGGCCCGGGGGAGCACGGCCUGCACGACGGACCUGGCGCUUCGCUCGACGGACAGGACAGGGCUAGGCCCCAAGCAAGGCGCUUCGCCCAGCUCCGGCGUCCUCUCCUGGCACCGAGGAUCAUCAGGGCGGGAGGGAGGAGUGUUCAUUGGUUGUGGAAGGGGUUAUGGCUGGAGCAGAGCACCACCAGGGUGUGUGUGGCUGCAGCACAUCGCGCGUUGGAACGGGGGUAGGGGCGGAGAAGACGAGCCAGCGCUCCUCUGGUAAUGAGGACUCCACGCAGGAUAACUCUCGGUGGGGAUUCUUUUGGUGCUGCUUUUUUUAAUUUAAUGGCUCCACCGACCAGAAGCUGCUGGAUAUUUCCAGGUGUAUGUGCUACCGAUUGCAAAAAAUAAAAUCCUGAAUGAGCACCUUUUUUUAACAGAACAUAAUCUUGAAAACCAAGCAACCAAUAUUUUCUAAAAAAAAAUCAACAUAGUAAUUGAAUAUUAACAAGAAAAAUUAUAUAUUAACAAUCUCACUUGAAUGCACCACUACUCUUCCACCAAAAAUAAAUUCAUGCCUUCCACAUCUUAUGAACACAUUAUCAGAUACAAUAAUGAAAAGUGAGUGAAAUUUUAGACAAGGCAUACACGGCGUGGCCUCCACAUAAAAUUUACUAGAAUUUUUUUCCUUUUUAUGUUGAUGAUGGGGAGUGUGUGAGGUUCGAUCUUUGGGCCAAGUUCAAAUAGUGCAAAUGAAAAAGAAUGGAACAUAAUCUUGCAAACCCAGGAACCAACAUUUUCUAUAAAAAAUCAGCAUAGUAAAAACCUAUUUGCUUUCGAAUAUCAACAAAAAAAAAUGUAUAUAAACAAUCCCAUUUGAAUGCACCACUACUCUUCCAUUCAAAAUAAAUUCAUUUGCAUUUAAAUCUUUUAAAAAUUCUAAGAAAAAACUUUUGGAUUAAACAAUUUCAUCAUCUGUAUAUCCCACUAAAAACACUUACAUCAUUCCUCUUCCACGCCGAUGAUAAUGCCAAGAUGAAGGAGAAGCCAUCAAAGAACAUCCCGACGAAUUUCUCAACUUUAUAGUAUGUCUGGGCACUAACAAUCCUUUUUUUAAGUGCGGACACAGAGCGUACGUGUUUUUUUAAGAUAAAGAGUGAAUUUUUCUUGCUUUCCAAACCUUCAUGCUUUUAAAUAUGUUCACGCUUUUUUUUAAUGCACAAAACUCCAAAAAAAUUACUCCGAAAAGUGAUAACAUUAUUAACUUAUUACCGAUGUUUAUCAAAACUGGAUAUAAGAUAUGGCCCGUACUGUCAUACGGAGCAGGUUUUACGAUAUUUUUAGCCCGUUGCAAUGCACGGGCAUCUGUACUAGUUAAUAAUUAAUAAUUAAUAAUUAAUAAUAAUAAUAACUAAUAAACCAGCGAUGGCUUCUGGUCGUACGUCGUCAGCAAUUUUGCAAAAAAGCCCUUAAAGGUUUUAGUAAUCAACCCGCAGUCUGACCGUAAGUGAAAAAACGUUUCGUACGCAGCCCAGACUCCGUCGUUAAAAUUGCUGCCCACGGGAGAACGAGGGUUCCUCCGCCGCUGCGCCCCACCCCCUGCUCUGCGAGAACGACGGUCCCUCCGCCGCCGCGCCUCCAUCCCUUGCUCCGCGGUGCCCGUCCUCGCUCCCCGGCCCCCGAAUGCACACAAGAUCGACAGGAUCCGCUGCAUCCCUCACAAUUUUUUUCCAGAUCGAGAUCGAUGGGGAUUGACAGGGGCGACAGCGAUGGGGAGUUGGAUCUGUGUGGCGGUGUGGUGGGAGCGCGGGGAGGGGCGCUGUGGUGGUGGAGGCGACCGGCGCCGUAGAUAAGCGCUGGGGAGUUGCCGAUGCAAUGGCCGAGCGAAGGGGAGAGCCGUCGUGGUGGACGAGAAUGACCACCAUGGAUUCCUCGCCCCAAGUCAUGAUCCAGUUGCUGCCGCUCUUCGAAGUCAUCUGCUCCAUCACAUCGGCAACCUCACAGGUCACAGCCUCCCAUCUGGAACCCUGAUGUCGUUUUAGUUGCCGACACUAUGCAACGGUCCUUUUUAGUGCAAUGCUUGCUUAGCACUAAUAGGUAGAACAUUCAUCAAUCAAGCGCAUGUACCAACAUGAUGGUAGAUUUUUUAUUGGCUCUUCUCUAAUCUGCAAGUCAUAUAUUGUGGCAGCGCUGGGUAGAUUCUUAUUGGCCCGUGUUGUGGUGAAAACAUGCUGUGGCUGAUCGCUUCAUUUGCUAACAUUGAUAUAUGUAUGCUGCUGAUGGGUCCUGAACUCCUGAUAUACACUGCCUAUUGCUGCUAAAAUUAGUAUUGCUACUCAAUUUGAUAGGUAAAGUGGUAAUGGAUGGCGAGAUUUUGUAGUGCUCAUAUGCCAGUUAGUCAAUUGUCCUUUCUGUGCUGAAUUAGAGAAUAUUGCCCAUAUGUUAAUCAGCUGCUCCUUUGUAUAGUUGUCAGUUUAUGGCUCUAGGUGUAGCUUCAUUUAUGCAUAUUGGUAAUGUUGUGUUGAUUUCUUUUGGGCGGAGGUUACUUCAUCAAUGAGGGGCCGGAGGGAGAGCUUGGCAGGGCGGCAUGACGGGCUGGUCUGCACCAGCAGAACGGAGGGAGAGAUUGAAAAAGAGUGUCUGCCUGCAGUGGCACGGAAGAAGAGUUCGAAAGCAGCACGGGCGGCUGCUCUGCGGCUGGUAUUGAAGGUAGAGCUUGGCAAGAGAGAAUGGGAGAGCUCUACUGCCUCGAGCAUCGCAUCCAGCCCCAAUGGCAUCAUGCCCACUUGCCCGGGUAAGCUUCUUCUCUGUUCCAAUUCUUGCACUUGUUGGUUUUUUACUUUCAGAGCUCUGGGAAAUAUCAGAUGGUGUGUGUCUUCUUUGAUGGUACAAGUAUUUUAAACUGGCACCGUCUGAUAAUAUAUGAUUGCUAUAAUGAACAAAGGUUGUAUUUUUUAAUUGAUUGGUACGCAAUUGUUGUCUUAGUCACUUGCUCAUUUCCAUUCUUGAAAAUGCAAGAUUAUUAAUUUCCUUAUAAGGAUAUAUAAAGAUAGAGGCAAUCUUUUUAAAACUUUUCUGAAAUCUGAUAUAAAUGAAAAUGUCUGAUAUUCAAAUUAGUUAGAUUAGUUUCUGUACUCCUAGCAGUGCACCUAAAUUUGAGUACCAAUGUUUCAGGGUACUAUUUUGUUUUUUGAGAACCAAGUAAAAGACACAGUUCCAGUGUGAUCAGCUAAGAGUUUUUGUACACAACAUCGAUUCUAUUUUUCUCAAACCAUUUAUUUUAGCUUGGAUAAGUGGUGUUUUGUUGUUCUACGGACUGAAUUUGUUGACGAACAUGGCUCGUGUGUAUUAAUUCAUCAAUGUCUCUGGCUAUCCUGCAGUACAAGGCAGACCAUAGAUUCCUCCCGAUGAAGAUUGAUGUGGCGCGAUGGAGAGCUUGGUGUGUGCGGCCUGCUGAUGGCGCUCGGGCCGAUGGUGGCUUAACAACGCAUGUUCUCUUAUCGUCCUCAUGCUCUCUGCCCUUAAUUUUAUCUCUCCGAUUCUUCUUUGGUUACAUGCACAUGUGAUUGAGGCAGGACAACAGGAGCAGCAAGAAGCAUGGACAACUAUGAGCUAGCUGCUAGCAGUGCCCCCCCCCCCUCAUGUACAUGGAUUUGUAAUGGCCAAGGAACACUUUCGAUUCUUUCUUUAGUGUUUUCACUAUCAAUCCAUAUUUGGUGAACUUGUUCUACUGUUCAUGAGCCUCCGCCCAGAACCUGUCUGAUGUCAUGCGUACGACGGACUGAGACACGUUCUAAUUUUCUGGUGAAACUCUUACCUCUAUUUAGAAAAUCCAAAUGAUGAAACAAGUGUAUUCAAGGUUGGAUCUGCACCUUAAACAUGUGUACCUGAUGUUCCAAGCUGCCGGUGUUCACAGCUAAGGAGUAGGCAAGGGUCCAUGGUUCAUUUGAUUUCGUGGGUAUUAUCCAGUACAAUGCGAUCUACACUGAAGCCGAUCUGAGCCAGGUGGAACAGAAGUUGAUAGAUUAUUCUGGCGACAGGGCUUCAAUAUAUAUAUCAGUCAGAAGUCUUGCAAUUUAACCAGUUUAUGCCUGAUAUUUUUGUCUCUACAUUUAUGUAGUAAGCUCAAGGCAUCAGGUACGCUUUACAUACAAGGUCUCGUUCAGUUUAGUUUCCCAUGUAGUGUUAAAUUCUGAUGAACUAUAUUCAGUACAAAUUGUAAGCUAAAGCAGAUUAAAAAGAUAAUAAAUAUGCUCAAUCCAUGUUCAGUUGCUAAACUGAUCAGGAACUACACUUCAAAGAGCUAACUGUUCACAAUAAAAUAGCCAUAAUUUUGUCAGUGUUUAGGGUAUUCAUCCACUCAGUGUCAUGUUUCUGAAUUUUGUGAUCCGGAAAACAUUGCUGGUCAUUUCAUAGUAAGAUUAUAGAGUUGUUCUCCCUUUAUUUUGCAUAUAUACUCACUUGCUUAUAGUAAAUAAAUAAUUAAACAGUCGGAACUGGUAAUUUCAAGGAAAGAAAUAAGAAUCUCAUGGUCUUUGCUAUUGCACCUGUACUGGAGAUUGGUCUUUCAGUCUCCAUGCCAAUCCAUGUCUAGCCUGACUGGACUCUUCCAACUUUUGUCAAGCUACGUUCCAAGUUUCAUAUUUGAAAUAGCUUAUGUUUUAUAGGUAAAGGCACACAAGUUUGCUGUUCAAUAUGACCAUCAACUUAUUAACAAUCUGUAGAACAUCAGAAUACUUAUAUGUUUCAGUUUUUGUAAAUGAUGAACAACAAUAUAAUUUCAUGCCUAAAAUCACAGCUUGGGUUAAAGGCGUGUGAUUUGUUUUCCUCCCGUUGCAACACACGUGCAUUUUUGCUACAUACUCUCUCUGUAAAGUAGUGAUCUGAACGCACUUAUAUUUCUUUACAGAGGGAGUACUUUCAUCAGAAAAAAAGGAACGCACAGAUAUUUUAAUUAGUUUUCUUUCAUGUUGGCCUUAACUAACAAACAUGUUCUCAGCAAUUUCUCCACCUUUGCCAUGGGAUGGGAACCAAGCUUACACAAUAGAGGCUAUUGAGUUGUAUUGUCAGGUCUGUUUACGUAUUUUGUAUUUUACUUGAGAGUGAACCUCUAAGGCUGUACCUUCUUUUAAGUGCUAGCACCUAGAGAUGAUUUGAAUUUUCCUCUUGUAAAUGUCAUGAGGCAUGAGCCACAACCUCUCCGUAGAACAUUAAAACAAACAUUGAUCUCCCUGUCAUGAGGCAUGAGCCACAACCUCUCCGUAGAACAUUAAAACAAAACAUUGAUCUCCCUGUGGGUAAACAAACAUUGACCUUUUGAUUUAUUUUUCCACUAGACGAUUGUGGACCAUGUGCAGAAGGAGUGUCCAUUCAAGCACAUUCUAGCAGGAUGGUGUGCAAGUUCCUUUUUUUCUUAAGCUCAGGUUCCUCUUUCUUGCAUGAGUUAUUCUUAAUUAUUGAGUUGAUUUGCAGGAUUUACAUCAGAUUGGCACAAUUUGAUGAACUUGAAUUGUUUUAUUUGGCCAUUAUAUAUUUUUUGAGUUUUUUUGUUUGCCCGUUGCAACGCACGGGCACUUUUACUAGUAAUAAAAAUAAUCUUUCCCUACUAAUAAAGCACGGAGUGCUUCUGCCCGUAUGUCGUCGUCACUUUUGCAAAAAAGCCCCUCUAUUUUCAAGAAAUCAACCCGCAGUCCCUUUUUAAGUUGCUAUCUCAGAAAACGUUUCGUUAUUACAAAAAGAACCCUGCCGUUUUGAGAAUUCAACCCGCGGUCCCCCUGGAAAGAAAAAAAAACCUAGCCACACGAACGACCCAUGAACCCCAAUCUCAUCCACCUCCAGCGCCGCCACGCCCUGCAACGCCGCCGCGCGCCGCCGAACUCCGCCCCGCCGGAAUCCGCCGGAACUCGACCCGCCGUCGCGCCGCCGCUCAAGCCCAGCUUCUGGAUCGGGUCAACGCGGUGGCUCGAGCGGCUGGGGGCGGCGCGGUGGCUCGAGCGAAGGCGGCGGCUGGAGAUUGCAAGGGCCGGAUUCAUGCGCGGCAGGGGCUGGGGAGGCGUAUCCGGAGGCGGGCGGCGAGGCGGGGGUCGCCGGUGACGACGACGAAGGCCGGAUCGUGGCUUGCCGGGCGAAAGGAGACAGGGAGGUGAGGGGAAGGAGAAGGAAGAAAGGAGGGACGGUGCGGCGACCUAGGCAGGAGCUCGCCGGAGCCGGGCGACGACGGACGACCGCGGGAGACAGGGGGAUCCGACGUCGUUGCUACUGCCUCCCUGGUAUUCCUCCUCUCACAUCUCCCGCCUUGACGUCAUCUGCUGCGCCGCCCAGGCCUCGACUCCACAUCACCGGCAUCUCCAACUCAGUACUCCUGCCACUGCACCCAGCGGCUCGUCGCCAUGACCGGAUCCGGCAAGGUUCCUCCAAUACCCACCCUCUCCCUCAUGCCACACAUGCUAUUUUACUUGGAAAAGCCAUUGCUCACGUUUUGGAUUUUGGCACUGCUCUGUUGUCGUGCUUCGCUUCAGUUCUUUGUUGGAGGAACUUUAAUUGUUUUCAGUGAGUAGUGCUUCUAUAAGCAAGGGAAUGAUAGAAUGAUGCACGAUUCUGCAGGUUAGACGAGCCGCUGACAAAGACAGGCCUCUAUUCUAAAUUUUUACUUGCAAAGAUGGACCAUCAGCUACAUAAUAUGUUGGCUAAACUCUCACAGGUCGCUAACAAUUUUUAUUUAUUGUCAUCUUGGUAAUUGGCAUUGGUGGUAUUGUCUUUUGGUUCAACAGAAUGUUGUUCAAGUGAAAAUGCAGAGGAACAUGUUGAACAAAAGAUGUGGUAUAAAAGGGAAAGGAUAGCCUAAACAGUACAAUGAUGCAAGUUCAGAUUUCAUAUGCUGUCUUCCCUGCCUCAUGAAUAUGCUAGCAUGGUUGUCUUCUAGAUUAUGCACAUGUCUUUGUUUUCCAUAUACUAUCGACGCAUUGUGUAGUAUGUACUAAUUCUAGGGAGACUGAUCUCAUACUGUUCACUCUUCAGAAUUAGUAUUUAUAAGUUUUUGUGUGGUUUUAGUACCUCAGUUAAGAAAUAAACAUUAGCCUUCUCUAAAGAGGUUUGCUGCCUUGCUUUUUAUAAUUCUAUUAAUUUAUAUUAAUCUCCUUGCAUAGAACUUCUGUUGCAUUACUCCCCGAUUGCUAUUAGUGGCCCUGUCACAAGAGAUUGUUGUAAAUCCUCAAUAUGUGUUUGAUGUAAAACAAUGUCCAAUCUACUACAUGGUGUCUCAGUCUCAAGUUCAUAAUUUCUAUAUCAUUUGAAUUGUAUACAACAAGAUACAAAAGCAGUAGGUCUCCAGCUGGCACAAAAAUGCAGACUUGAUUUGUUUUAGUUCCUUAAUACAUCUACUACAACCUACAAGAGACCCUAUCUAAGAAAACAAAAUCAAGGACCAAUGUACUUCUGACAUUAUUUCUCAUUAAUAUCAAAUUAGAAUAACAUUGAUGGAACAUAUUCUUUUUCUCUCCUUGCUUGAGUUAAUGGAGUACAGUAUUGCAUUUUGCUGAGAUGUUCUGCUCAAUGCAGGUUUGGAGUCGACCAAGGAAGUCACAGUUUAAGAGCUCGAGGAGGAGGGGCGUGUGGAGGUUCCCGCCGCCAGUGGCUGCACUGCUGGUCUUCGUCGCCUGCUCCUGUCAGAUCCAGCAUGACCUACCCUAUCGGUUCUCCGUCGCUUCACUCUGCUUCAUGUGCAUAUGUGCAGAGAAGAUGACGACCCCGCCCCUGUUCUUCGCCAGCCACACUCUCCCUUAUGCGGUAAUAAAUCUCAAGAAAUGCCCUUUUCGUUUACAUGAACAUCAAACCUACUUUUUUGUUUGAUGUUGGUGCAUGUCCAGCCUGAUAUGUGUGUUUGGCUGCUGCUGUGCGAUUGCUGGCUGUGUUGCUACUUGUGGCAAUAGUUAUUUUGUUUAAGUAUGUGGGACGACAAUGCUUCUGUCUUUUGGUGGAAUCAUUUUCCUUUCAAUUUAAUUACCUGAGAAAAAAUUCUAUAUUUUCUUACUUCCCUUUCUUUGUUGUUUUCAUGGCUGACUAUUUGAAGUUAUCUGUUCACUUAAGCAGUUCUUGCCUGCGGGCAAGUUUUUGUAUGUUCAUCUAAUAAUGGAAAAGAUUCAAACCUUCAAUUUUGUAGGAACGAUUUUAUUGCUCGAGUAAGAUAUGUAUUUACCAAAGAACAUGAGAAGGGCAAGUUUUUAUACAUUGGAACUUUCAUUACCCCCAGUAUUUUAGUCCUUUUCCUUGCAUCUUGCUCCCAGGAAUCCUUGAGUGUAUAGGUUCUCUCCAUUGAAACCGUUUAGGUAGAAUAUACUUAUGGUGGUAUAGUUGUUUUACCAGUAUUAUAAUUCAGCUGUGCAAAAUUUAAUUGCGGCUGUAAGGAUUCAGGUUUGUCUCAUGGUAAACCUUAUCAGUUAGACCUGAUAAAAGUUGAAUACUGCAUCCAUUUAUAUUAUAUUCUGCUGAAUAAUAUAUCAAAUUAUUCGUCUCUUUUACGGCGGUUUGCUAACUUAUUUUGCAUAGCAUUUCUAACAGCAUCA